CCAUGCACUAAAGUUAUCGCUAUGCGCGGUGUUCGGGGAAGGGCCCCACCACAAGGGUGUAUUGCAUGCAGUCUUACCUUGCAUUUCUGCUACGUGACCUCCUGAUCACAUAGCAGCAACUUCACCAGUUACUCCAAAGUUCUCCUUCAUAUAUAUAUAUAUAUAUAUAUAUAUAUAUAUAUAUAUAUAUAUAUAUAUCUCCGAUACUGGAUUGAGUAGAUUGAUGAUGAUAAUGAUGAUGAUUGGAAAUCCUAAAUCAGGACUAGAUCUGUGUAUACUGGUACUCUCAAACCCACUAGGGACCCCUUUCUUCGUGAGCCAUUAUGUCUGAGAAGAGAGGUCGUCGUAGGUCCUGCCUUUGUGAGUCAUUGAUCUGGAGGAGGGGUACAUACUUUGUUACUUUUUGUCACUUGGAAUAGUUAUAGUAUUAUGAAUUUACUUUGUAUUCAUUCAAGCAUGCGCGUUUCCUAUCACAAAUAUGUUGUUUUGUUCUUACAUCUAUCAACCUUAUGGGAGGUUGCAUAGCGUAGGAUAUGAGUGCCACUUGUUGUGUGCUGAUUGAGCCUUACGUGUUAUAUGGAUCGAUUUAAUUAUUGUUUUCCUAGACUAUCCGGUUAGUGUAUUGUAGUUAUUAUGGUUUAUUCAUGGCAGGUUGAUUCUUGGACUGGUAAUAAUAUUCGAGGCAUGAUUCUGAUUCCUUUCUCUUAUGGUUAUUUUAUUAUAUAUGAUUAUCUCAUGUUUAGACAUUUGGAUUAGGGACCCUGAUUAUGCUAUUAUCAGUUUCCUACUUGAUUAGGAUGCCUUGAGAUUCUAGAUUGACUACCUUAGGUCGUACCCUUUGAGUUAGUCUUGUAUUCUUAUAUAUAUAGUUAUGGUAUUACCAUUAAUCCCAUUUUUUCUUCGUUUAUUCAUGUUGUAUACCCAUUUCUUAGCCUUGUAUACUUCUAUAUAUCCUUCUUAUACCCUUUAUUAAAUAUUGGUCAGGAUAUAUGGUAUAGUGCGUUAGUGCUCGAGUAUAGCUAGAAUAGGUUAGUCUAUUCUUAUUACCUAUUCUUAUUGCCUCCCUAGUCUUACUAUUAUAGAUUCUUGGUUAUUUGGAUAUAGAUUAAAUUCUUGCUUGCGUGUUAUCUUAAUUUGCAUUAUAUUUGGAGCUCAAUAAGAAGUUUCCAAUUGUGCACCAUCUGUUGGUACUUAUACUAUACUUAUGCAGCCUGUAGAUCAUACUAUGGUUUCUCACCGUUGUUGUGAGGAUCGUGUGGAGAAGCUAUGGAUUAGAUAUUUAGGGUCAUCUCCUAGAUUUUGGAGUAUUACUACUCUCCCUCUUAUGGAUUAUACUGAUCUCUAUGCAGUAUUUCGAGAUGGGUUGUACCUAUAUAUUCAUUUAGUACUUUAUUUUGUGUUCUUAUUAUAUUAGAUUCUCCUAUAAUGAUUCCACCAGAUCUUGGGAUUGUGUUAUGUGUAUUAGUCCGAUAUUAUCUUUGUUCCACCCUUUCUUUUUAUUUUUUGGGUAUUCAAUUACUAGUAGUUUUAGAUUACAGUUGGCUUACCUACUGGUGGGUUAUAGUAGGUGUCAUCAUGACCUGUGAAAUUUGGUCUUGACAGUAGAGUCAAUUCAAGAAUUUUGAUCAAAAGUGAUCUAGAUCCCUAUUUUAUAGAAACUAACGACAGCAAUUAGUGUAAGAGAAAUCAUCUUAUUUAAUUAACUUUAUUAACCAAAGAUAUCAAAUUAAGAAUUAAUCUAACCUCCUAAAGAAUCAUUCUUAUAAGGUUGCGGGAUAAAUCCCAAGUAUCCAUACACAACGGUGUAAAUAAUAGAAACUUUGAAUUAAUAAUAAUAUCAUCUAAUUAAAAAUAACAAAAUUCAUCCUUUAAUAUAUAUAUAAAAAAACCUAUCCCAAAUAGGAUGGGAUUUGAAUUCUACUUAUUUUGGAUAAAAUAAAUCUAGGAACUUUUAAACUAGAAAACUUUAAAAAAAAAAAAAAAGAACCCUUUAAACUAGGAAACUUUAAAGUAGGAAAGCAAAAGUUUCUGAAUUUAACCAAAAUCCAUAUGGUCCUAAUCUUCUCCUUUUGGACUUGGACUUUUGAAUCAUGAUAUAUGUGUAGCACUUGGCUCAUCCUUCUCCGUAAUUCUUGUACUCGUUCUUGGGCUCUUAUACUAUCAUAAGCAUCUUUAAUUCACAUUAAUGCCCGUCAAUCUUAAUGCAAGUGGGUCAGCCAUGAUGCUGUCUUUCCCCUCCUAUUGAAAAAAAUUCAUCCUCAAAUUGGAAUCUCGCAAAAUCAAGAAGAUAUACAAUAAAAAAAAACUUCCAUUACUUGAAAACAACAAUGGUAGGAAAAAAACAAAAUAGUGACCAUGAGUCCAUUUAAUCCAACUAAUCCUAGCAUGUAUAAAUACACCCUUAUAAAGCAUGUGGACAACAUCAUCCCAAUAAAAAUUUCUCUUUCUUGUAUGAGCUCAAAAACACUCUCUCAUAGAUAUCAUUGUGAAUGACAUAUUAAACUCCAAUUUAAUUCUAUCAUUAAAGUAUUCCAAUUUUCUUGGCAAAGACGACAUAAGAUUUGCAAAAUACGCAUCAAAUUGCAGAAUUUUAUGAUAUAGCCAAACAUACUCAAUUAUAUUUCCCAAAUAUUUAUCCACAUAAAACCUAUUCAUAGCACCAUAUGAGUUUUUAAGAAGGAUAGAAGAACCCUUCAAUCUCAAACUAAAAUCUCCAUUAAAUUUUAUGUAAUUUCUCUAAUUCACCAACACGGAAUCAUGAAUAGGUUCAACAAAGGAUAUUUUAUCACUCGAAUUAUAAUAGUCAUGUAUUUCCUCAUUACUAGUAGCUAACACCUUUUUAACCGUACAAGCACCAAGACUUGAAACAUUAUGACUCAUCACACAAAAAGAAUAAUAUUCCAGUAAGUCACCAUACAAAAACUUAUUUGACACGAGAAUAAGAAUGAAAUAAUCAUCUACCUCAUACACAAUCUUCUUCCUACAAACACCACACCUCUUCUCAAUACGAAAAAAAAAUCCAUAUUCAUCUUUGUCAUACUCAAUUUCAAAAGGCAAUGAAUUAAUCAUAUAGUUGAACUUAGAGUUUUCAAUUAGUGACAUAUUAUAGAGCAACAUAUCAUCAUCCUCAAACUUAAUAAAUCCCAUAACAUAAGAACUAGGAUUAUAGUUCAUCACCUCCAAAAAGAUUUUAGGUGUUAAUUACAUGAAUGUGGAUAAGCAUAUCAUAUAUGCCAUACAUGGUAUUAUGUAGCAAAGGAACAAUAUCUCCUCAUUUUUACUUUCUCAUUGGGGUUAGAUCUACAUUUGCCUUGUUGGACUUCUUUUUAUGAAUCUUAUCUUUGACAAUUCAAAAAUAAUUCUCUUUACCUAUAUCCUUCUCAUGAAUAAACACUUUCUCAAUGGGAUAUAUGGUUUCAACCACCUUAGUAUUAGUCCCAUCCAAUAAAGGAUUUUCAAUGCAAACUUUCGCCUAAGUACCUACAAGAGAGUCAAAGAACUAGAAGAAGAAGUAGGAAGGUUAAGUUAGAAUAGGAAAUAAGCUUUACUCAAACUCAAUAGUUUUUCUCUCUCUUCCUUAGAAUCAUCCCUCUCUUUUUUACUAUCAUGAUCAUAUCUCUUUUCUUUUCUUUCGACUUCACUUGACAUCUCAUUCUCUCCACACAAUACAACCUCUUCCUUUUUCUCUCUUUGGAUAUUAACAUGCACUCCUUUACUACUCUUGUUCUUUUCUCUCUUAAAAAUAUUCAUUGCUUCAUUCAUAUAUUUCUGAUCUUCAUAAAGUUGGGAUGGAGUUAAAGGUAAAAUUUUGUAUUUUCUUUUGUUUAGUUCAAGAGAAACACUAUUCUUUUCCAUAUUAUUAAUUGUAUUCCUAUCAUACUUCCAUGAACGCCCAAGCAUAGUAUGACAAUCUUUCCUUGAAAUUACAUCACAAAGAAGAUUAUUAGAGCACCUCCCAAUGGAGAAAGAAAUCAUGCAUUGCUUAGUCACCUUAAAUUCAUCAACACCAUUCAAACAUUGUUGCUGAUAAGGAGUAGUAUGUUUAAUGUAUUUAAGUUUCAACUUAUCCACCACAAAUGAACUUAUCACAUUAGCACCUCUUUUAAAAUCAAUAAUUAUAGAGCAAAAUUAACUUUUAUGCCACACCUUGUAUGGAAAAUAAUUCUCCUCACUAAAUCAACUAUGUUCAUUGGAUUAGAUGGAUUUUGGAUCGCCUUGAAUAAAUUGAGUCACGCAGAAAUCCUUCUAAGUACCUUGGCUAUAUCUUUGUUUUGAGUUCCAACAUUAAUACAUUUUCAAAUUUGAUACAUCUCAAAAGUAAUAUUAAAUAAAUAAAGAUUUCUCAAUUUUGACAUUUUUUUGGUUUAAAUUAAUCUCACUCUCUUGCCCUUUUCCACUCAAAUCACAAUCUUUGGCAAGAUUCUUCAGAAUUUCUAUACAACCCCUACUAGUAACAACCUUUUAGAAGCAAGGUUGUGGAAUAAAAAGAAUUUAUCAAUAUCUUGAUAAAUUGAAUUUGAUGAGACAAGAGAAAGACCAUUUUGUGAAACAAGAAACUUCAAUGUUCUUCUUUGACGUAGGAAAUCAAGAAUCAAAACAAAUUUUGUGUUUUCUUGGAGAUAUCUUAAUUCCCAUGCAAUUGAAUUUUCUCUUGCUCCUUUUUUUAAUUUCUUUUUUUCUUCUUCUGUUUCUUUUUUUUCUUUUGCUAAUAUAGCUUAACAAUAAAAAAAAUUGUUGUUUUUUUUAAAUUCAAAGUUUAAAGAAUUUAAAAGAACUGAUUUGUUUUGAAAAUACCAAGAUUAUCAAGACUGGAACCUUGAUAGAACAACUUUGAUACCACUUGAUAAGAAUCAGGUUACCUGAAUAAACAAAAAAAUAAUGCAGAAGCAAAAACAUUAAGAUUAAAGAUAGAAAUUGAAAGAUAUGUGAAAUUUGUGAAUAAAAUUCCUAAAUUUCAAGAUAAGUUCUAAGAAUCCUCAUUGCUCUUAGCAUUCAAAAUUAGUGGAUUAAAACUAACUAUGAUAUUAAUAGUGUUAGUUCAAGAACAUAUAUCAAAAGUUAUCUAGACUCCUAUUUCAAAGAAAUGAAAGACAACAAUUAGUAUAAGAUUAAUCACCUUCUUUAAUUAACUUUAAUAGAAAUCAAAGAUAUCAAGUUAAGAAUUAAUCUUACAUUUUACGGAAUCGAUCUUAUAAGGCUUCAAGAUAAAUCUCAUGUAGUCACACACAAAGGUGUAAAAGAGAAACUCUGGAUUAAUAAUAAUGUUGUCUAGCUGAAAAUAACAAAAUUAAUCCCUAUAUAUAGAGAAAAAACCUAUCCCAAAUAGCAUGAGAUUUAUAUCCUACUUUUAUGGAAAUAAAUAAUUUUUAAACUAGGAAUCUUUAAACUAAGAAACAUUUAAAGUAAGAAACGUUUAAACUAAGAAACUUUUAAACUAGAAAAAUUUAAAUUAGAAAAUAUAAAGUUUUCAAUUUUAAUCAAAACCCAAUCAUCUUUGUUUGGUCUUGUACUUUUAAAUCAUAAAAUAUGUGUAACACUUAGCCCAUAUUUCUCGAUAAUUCUUAGACUCAUUCUUGGGCUCUUCUCCAGCAUAAGUAUCUUAUUGAUUCAUAUUAAAGUCUAUAAAUCUUAAUGAAAGUGGAGAAUCCUAGAUUCUAUCAUCAAUCAUAUGGGUAAAAAAAAUAAGAAAAUCAUGAAUUUUCAUGUUAAAUAUACUUUAAUUCAUAAAAGAGCAUCAUAGUUUCAAAAUCACGUAAAGUGGAUAUGAACCCUAUUUAGCAAAUUCAUUAAUUCAUAUUAAAACUAACUUGUUUAGACACAAGGAUUAAAGAACAUCUUUGUUCGAACUCCACAUACCUAAACUUCUUGAUUUCUUGAAGGAAACUUUGUGUUUGAAGCAUUGAAAGUUGAACUCUAAGAAAAAAAUCCUAAAUUCAUUUGUCUAGAGAGUAGAAAAGAUAAACAGUGAUGAAAAAUUGAUAAAUUCGGAGUAAAUUAUGUUUAUAGAGUGAUUUAAGUCGUGUUGAAAGAUUUUGAGGUAAGGAAAGGACCAAAUACCCCUAAUGAAACUAAAUAAAUUUGCAAAAAAAUUUUGUCUUGCGACUUGGUUGAUGGCCUGUCAACCCAUUUUCAGCUCAUCAACUCAGUUUGAUAAUAUUUUUCCAAUUUUGAGAUUAACUAUUUUAGUUUUAUGACUUCAAUUGACGGCUUAUCAACUCAGGUCGUUAAUAUUUGGUAGAUAGACACCCUUAGAUAAAAUAAGCAUAACUUUCUACUCGAUAUCGGAUUAAAGUGAGAUCAGAUUCAUUCGAAAGAGGACUCAAAUACCUUUUAUUAAGUGGGUUUUAAGAUCCAAAACUUUACAUAUGUAGAGUUUAUACUCAUUUAAAUUUGACCCUUGUGGGAUCAGAUACUAAAAAACAUUCGAUAACAAAUGCUCUCAACUCAACUUUGCUGUAAAUGUUUUCUAGGACCAUGAUUUGCAUCAAAAUAACCUACACAUGAAGUAAAUUAUCAUGAUACUUAUAUAUGAUUUAAAAUAACUAUUUUUGCACCUUUAUGCAUAUGAUGAACUGUCAAAAAUAUAGCUAGAAGUAUGUGGGGUAUUAUAAUAUCUCCCACUUGGGAUGAUUCAUCUAAAAUGAUGACUAAUAUUGGGGUGAAAAGAAUAUAGUUACUAGCAUAAAAUUGAAUUUUUCAAAUUGAUCAUGUUUCAUAACUAAAAUAACCUUUUGAUAGAAUACCAACUCAGUUGAUACAUAUGGAAUAGGAACACAUACUUAAGAAUCAUAUGAAAUAAUUUAGACAUGAAAUUAAAGUAGCACAAUGCUAGGAUGGAAAUCUAUUAUUCCUAUUGGAUCAUUUCUGGGAGUGAACAAAUAAGGGUACUUAGAUAUCAUGGUUGUAAUAAAAGGAUAUAGCCGAGCUUAUAAGACAAAACCCCUAACAUAAAACUAAUUUAUGAGCUAAUGUAAUCACUCUCUAGAUCAUGUUUGUAUUUCUGCUUAGUGUCAGCAUUUAGAGCUUUCCUAAAGCCUUCCUAAUUAGUUUAAGACUUACUAGAACUAACAAUUCAAUUAUCGGAUAGUUCAUUGGGUUUUUAGGGCCAAUUCCCUAUUUUAAAGCCUUUGUUGGUUUAAACUGGCUACCAAAUAAAAAUUUUAGUUAAACACUUGUGUAUGCCAAUUCUGACUAUUCCAAAAGAUCUAAAAUGUUAAUUUUAGGUUAGGUGGACCCUUGUUCUGUGUCCUAAGGCUUCUAGACUUAUUUUGGGCUAUUGGUCAAAAGUUAAGAAUAUAACAAGUGGGUGUAGGACCUAUAUUUUGUCUAAAUGACCUCGAAUGGAAAUUUUGACUUCGUCAUUGAGUUCAAAACAUUAAAUCUUAGAGGGUAUCAUAGUUUGUUUUCAUAUAUAGGAUUUUUGAUGAAUCUCAAGGGGUUGGCGGAGACUUAGAAUUUCUCCAAGUUCCACCAAUGCAUAAUAACUAGUGUGAUUGCUAAAGCAACCUUUCAGGCGCUUUAGCGGAGGGAAAUUUAGCUUUCCUUUGGGGCACUACAUCAUCCCUAGAUCAUCUAACAGGUACCAUUUUAGUGGAACCUAGGUGCUUUAGUGGUUAAUGCUAAAAUGGAUUUAGCGGCACCAAUGUACCUAGGAAGGGUAUAAAUACCAACUUAGCCCGACUUUUUCCUUAUUUCAUCCAUUCUCUAGAAUCAUAAACUAUAAAGACUCAAAUUUAUUGGGAGAAUCAAUUGUGGUGCUUAAGCAUCAUUAAUUUAUGUAAUUUCCCAUCAAAUUUGUUGAAAGAUUUCUUAUUUUUUGAUGGUUGGCUUCUCCAUUCGUAUCUAAAAUCUCUAAAUAUUUGGUGUCUGUAAUAUAGAACCAUUAGAGCUCAGAAUUCACCCAUUUUUUUAGGGUAAAUGUUCCUUGAGUAUUGGAGGAGGUUGAGUUAUUUUGAAAGUGCAAUUUGGGUAUCAUUAUUCUCAUUUUAAUGAGUAGAUUACAAUUUUGAUAGCGUGGAACCUUGUAGAAUCCAUUUGAAAGGGGAAAUCAAUGAUUUAGUGGAUUGUUUAGGAUUUUUUUCAGUGCCCAAGUAGGCUAGGUUUACAUUAUUCAUAGAUUGUGCUAAUUCAUAGUAUGCUUAUGAUAUUAUGCUAGAUAUGGGUGGAAUUUAGGUAUUGGCAGUAUGAUUGAAAAUUUUUGGUUUAGUUGGACCGUUAAAUAAUCUUAGAGUCGUAGACUUGGAGUAGUUAGCAUAGUUAUUCAUGUCUUAGGUGAAUUGGGUUUCAUGGUAUAUGUUAAUAAUGGAAAUGCCUUAAUUACCAAAUCUAGGUGAAAUUGUAUUAGUUGAUCAUGUGUAGGGUGGAAUUAUCCUUAGUUUCUUAAAUUAAAGAAAAUUACCUUAGUUUCUAUUAUUUUAGGUUGACUUAGUUGCUCAUGUUUUAGAAGGAGUACUAUCUUAGGGCUAUUUAUGUCUUACUUUACAUCUAGAAAUGAACUUAGAUACCUUAUCCUAAUCCAGGGUAGAAGUUGCCUAAAAUGGAUUUUGAGGAUUUAAAGUGGGCCCCUUUAGCCCACCUUAGGCCUAAACUUGUGUUACCCUUGAAUACUUAGUUGUGCAUUAUAUCCUCUUAUUGAUUAUUGGAUUAACACUUGAGGAGAUUGAAUAUAUUUAUUGAGUGCAUUAGUUGGAUGUUGAAAGAUUGAUGCUAAUUCCGGGUAUUGCUAAUAAUUUUACUUAUACAUGAUUAAUAAUAUUAUUUAUAAAUAUGACUUAUGGUAUGACUUAUUUUUAUAUAUAUAUAUAUAUAUACAUAUAUAUAUAUGAUUAUUAAGAUGGCUUCUGUGCAUCACUUAAGAUAUGAUUUAAAGAUAUAUGAAUAAUGAUAUAACUUAUACAAACAUGAUUAUUGAUAUGGAUUUUACAUAUGAAUAAUAAUAUAGCCUAUUGACAUGUUUAACGAUAUAGAUAUCGAUGUUAUUAAAAAAUAUGUCUUAUAAAUCUGAUAUGGCUUAUAGAUAUAAGAUGUCUUAUAGAUAUGAUAUGGAUUAUAGAUGUGAUAUAGCCUGUAUACAUGAUAUUGCUUAUAUGCAUGAUAUGGAUAUACAUCUAAUUGAUGGAUCAUAGAUAUGAUGCUACUUAUAUAUAUAAUUUAUAACUCAUAGUUAUGAUUGGUGUCUUAUAGACACAUUCAUUGAAGUAACUUAUGAUUAUGACUAUUGACAUAACUUAUGGUCUUGGUUAUUGACAUGACUUAAUAGAUGUUGUAUUCGUAUAGUCUAUUGGAUUAUUUUAUUGGUAUGUCUUGGUGAUAUAGUUCAUUGACAUAGUUUUUAAAAAUGGGUACCAGUUCGAGUUUGGUCAUUGGUAAUGAUGUUGAUAAUAUGAGUUCUAGAUCAAGUUCGAUAAAUGGAGAUAUUAAUGAUAAUGCUGAUAAAUUUUGGUUCAAGUUUGAUAAAUGGUGAUUUUGAUGACAAUGUUAUUGAGUUCCGAUUCAAGUGUGACGUUGAGAAUUAUGAAUUAGACAAUAUGGUUUGAACAGACUCUUGGCUAUGGAAUGAUAAUUUUGUAAUUUAUGGCUAUUAGGUUGCUUAGUUUCUUAGAUUGUACCCUCCAGGAUUGUGGGAGCCUGCAUUGAAUGAUUUUUACAUUUCUAUACAUACUAGCUUAUGGGGGCCAAUCUUGUAGUUUUAAUGGUAUGAUCCUUAAUAUUAUCUCUUAUGCAUUCAUUUAUUUAUGCACAUCGACGUUAGAGCAUAUUUCUAAGUUUGAUCGUUUUUAUUUGGACUUAGCUUAUUCUAUCUUAUAUCUUAUCAUAUUUAUAUUUUGGUUUAGCUCAGUUAGUUGAUGAUGUUUACUGAGUACGUGUGGUUUUGGUACUCAUACUAUACUUCUGUACCUUUUUGGUGCAGGUAUGAUUAUUAGUCAUUACUAUUAAUAUGAUGUUUGUGCAGGGGUGUUUUCAAAUGUUAGGUGAGCUCUUUGAGUCGAAGUUAUCCUUUUUCUUUCUAUUUAUCUAUGUCAAGUCAUUCAUCUUUGAGAUAGAUUGUAUUUGACUAUUCAGUACUCAGUUUAUUGUAGUAGCUCCUGUACUAACAUUACUAAUUCUUGGGAUGCUUGUUGGUUUUCUAUCUAUCUAUUAGACCUUUAUAAUUGUAUUAUGGCUAUUAAGGCCUUUAAUUGUUGAAUUCCAACUGUUAGGCCCUUUUCUACCAAAUUGGCCUAUUGCAAUUAGCUACGGGCUAAGGUUUGGCUUACCUACUAGAGGGAUAGAGUAGGUCCCAUCAUGACUUAUAAACCAAGUCAUAGUAAAUUAGUAUUAGAGCCCAGGUUAUAUCGGUAUUAUUGGUAUAAGGGAAAGUGUCUGGUAGAGUCCCGCAGAUUAGAUUAACAACGUCCGUUUCUUAUCUUCGAGAGGUUGUGGGAUAUUCUUAGAAGUAUUUCACUUCCUUUAUUCAUUUUGUGCUAAGACUCUGAGUUAGUUUCUAAAACAUUUCUUUUGUUUCACUCUUUCAUAGAUGGCUAGGACACAUGCUACCGCUAUAUAAGACGAGGGUCCUAAGAUCGAACUUAGGGAUAUUAUUGAUAUUCAUGGACAACCUAUAGGUAAUGGGCAUCCUCAAGGUAUGUCCUUAUCUAGGGGCUAGGAUAGGGGGCCUUUCCUGAAUGUUAUUCUGCUUUUGAGCCAGAGAUUCUUCAGCUGCAGUAGAUGAUGUGCUAGGGAGAAGUCUAGGCUCUACCAAGAUUUAUUUCUUCUAUAGUGCUUAGGGAUAAUUUGGUUCAACUUUAGGGUUGGUUAGUGUUGCACUAUCUGAUGGUGCACAGUCUAUAGAUCAGAAUGGUACAGAGGUGGGGCAUAUCUUAUAGUUAUGGCUCCCAGAGUUGACGUCCCUCCUAUAUUGAUAGUUACUCCGUUAGUAGUUUCCUAGCAUGCUAUGUCUACCAAGGAGGAAAAAAUAUUGGGUAGAUUCUUGAGAUUGGUUCCACGUAGGUUUUCUGGUUCACCGAGUGAAGAUACGUGUGAGUUCUUGAUUUUUUGUGAGGAUAGGCUUCAUAAUUUAGGUCUAGUUGAAACUUGGGGCAUGAAUUACACUACUUUUUAGUUGGACUUGGCAGCUUGACAUUGGUGGAGAGGUCACCUUAAUUCUAGUCUAGCUAGAUCUCCUUCUUCAAUAUGGACCCAGUUCUCCAAGAUCUUCUUGGAGAAGUACAUGUCUUACAUCCUUAGGGAUCAUUUUAGAGCUCAAUUCUCAAGGUUGAAGUAGGUCUCCAUGACUGUGAUGGAUUAUGAAGCUUGAUUUUAUGAGUUGUCUAGGCAUGCUACUUCUAUUCUAACUAUGGAAUAUGAAAAGGUUCAUUACUUUAUUCAAGGAUUAAGACUUAUUCUUCAUAUGUCUACUCUAAGUUUGGUUGAUAUGGGUAGCUCUUUUGUUGAGGUUUUUGGUUAUGCUCAGCCUAUGGAUGAGAUGUAUCAGAGGCCCAAAGGGGCAACAAUAAAAGGUUGUCAUAUUAGGAUAGAUUCAAUGGGAGCUAUAGUAGUUCUUGGUUCAGAGGUAGUGGUUCUCAGGGUAGGUAGCCUCUGUGCCAACUAUUUUAGUAUUAGGUUUUGUCUAGUAGACCCAGUCAGGAUACAGUUUAGAUUACCGAUAGAGGCCAGUCUAGCUUAAGUGAUUGUCCUAUCCAGGGUUGUGGUCAUUCUUUGAGGGGUUCAUCUUUUGGUUAUUCUAUUCAUGGUGGUUUGUUUAGGCCAGCCAAAUCUUCUAGUUUUAGUCCAGUGCCAGAGGCGUGUUAUGGUUGUGGAUCUUUUGGUCAUUUCUCUGAGAAGUAUACUAGUCGUGAAGAUAUUGUUCCUUUAUAUUUGAGUAUUGCACCUAUUAAGGAAGUUUAUCCUUAGCUAGAGGUGGUAGGCAUGGUCGUAGGGGUGGUACCCAUGGUGCUCGUGGUGGUUCUCAGGUAGGUAGGACAGAAGGUUGGUUAGAAACUCAACUAGGAGGCGGGCAUGGUCAGUUGUAUGCAGUACCUACUAGACCCGAGGCUGAGUCAUUGCAUAUUGUUAUUACAAGUACAAUUUUAGUGUACCUUCAGUAAUCUUUUACUUUGUUUGAUCUGGGAUUCAUUUAUUCUUAUGCCAUUACAUGUAUCUACUUCUGUGGGUGAUUUUGUAGUAAUGGAUUGGAUUUUUAAAUCACGUGUUACGAUGGUUCGAGAGCAUGAUACUCAUGUUAAUCUUAUUAUUUUAGACAUGGUGAAUUUUGAUGUGAUUCCAGGCAUGGCUAAGUUAGCCCACUAUUAUGCAAUCCUGGAUUGUUUUGCCAGGACCGUUACAUUAGCCAUGCCUGACAUACCUCCGAUCAUGUGGCAGGGAGAUGUUAGCUGUUAGACAACAUGGAUUAUUUCUUAUAUGUGUUCUAGAAGGCAUAUUUUAAGGGGUUUCAAGUCAUAUCUCACUUAUAUUCGUGAUGUUUAUGUGGAGAGUCGCUUGACUCUGUUCCUGUAGUUUAUGAGUUUUCUGAUGUUUUCCCUACCGAUCUAUAUAGCCUUCUUCCCGAGCAUAGUAUUGAGUUGUUUAUUGGACUUGAGUAGGGAACUUGACCUAUUUCUAUGGUACCUUAUUGUAUGGCUCCUGCCGAGCUUAUAGAGCUAAAUUCUUAGCAUCGGAAUCUUUUUGGUAAGGGUUUCAUUAGACCGAGCGUGUCUCCUGAAGGAGCUCCAACAUUGCUUGUAAAGAAUAAAGAUGGCUCCAUGCAUAUGUGUAUUGAUUAUAGGCAGUAUAAUAAGGUGAUAGUGAAGAACCAUUAUCUUUUUUCCUUGCAUUGAUUACUUGUUUGACCAACUUCAUGGAGCUGCGAUGUUCUCUAAGAUUGAUUUGGGAUCAGGUUACCAUUAGUUGAGGAUUUGGGCUGAGGAUAUUCCAAAGACUGCCUUUAGGACCCGUUAUGGUCAUUAUGAAUUCCUAGUGGUGUCUUUUGGGUUGACUAAUACCCAAGCACAUUUAUGGAUUUGAGGAAUCGAUUGUUGAGUCCUUAUUUGGAUUCUUUCGUGAUUGUGUUCAUCGAUGACAUCCUUUUAUAUUCGAGGAGUAGAUAGGAUUAUGAGCAACAUUUGGGGAUUGUGCUUUAGACUUUGAGAGAUCAUAUGCUUUUUGGAAAAUUCUCUAAGUGUGAAUUUUGGCUUGAGUUAGUAAUAUUCCUUAUGCAUAUGGGGUCUAUGGAUGGGAUUAAGGUAGACCCGAUGAAGAUUAAGUCCAUUUGUGAUUGGGCCAGGCCUACAUCUCUGGCUGAGUUUCAUAGCUUGAUGUGGCAUGGAAACAUGACACUUUUGAUGAUUGAAACCUUGACUUUAUGUGUGAACCAGUAUAUUUUGUUAGAUAUGAUACACUUUAGUGUAUAUUACCAGUAAAAAAAGGUCUACAACAGUGUUUGAAUAAAAAAAGGAGAAAAAGACCAGAAAAGGACCAAUUCUGAUUAGGGCAUGAGUCAUCUCAUGUGUUUUGUUUUAAUCAUUUGAUAUGACUCGUAUGCUGAAUCGUACAAACAACAGAAGUAAAUACCAUCCUGAGGAGCUAAGUAUGGUGAAGAUACGACUCAAGCAUCCAAGUCAUAAACUAGGAUAUGAUUCAUACAAAUCAGUUGUAAGUAUAACAGAAACUAAGAUACCAUCAAGGAGUUAAAGUCUCAGAAGUAUACAUGUCAGAAGUAUGAGUACGACUCGUAUAGGGAAGUCGCACACAAAUAAGUUUUCAAAGAUUGGAAAGACAAAAGUCCCAGGUGGAUAUGAGUGAAGGACACCAGUGUACACUCAAGUACGACUCGUAAGUGGAAAUCGUAAGCUGAAUAGAAAGUCAAAGCCUUGGGAUAUUAGACACUGGACUGGAUAUGAGAAGGUAGGGUACAACUCGUAUGAUACUGGGAUAAGUGAAUAACAAGUCAUGCCGACUGGCGACAUAACUUAACCAUUCUCAUUUUUAUUAGGAUUUUUAUGUUAUUGUGAGAUACUAUAUAUACCUUAGGCUUUUAUAUUUUAUUAGGUUACGUUCUUUUACAUAUUACUACAAUACUUUGCAAUACCUCUUACAUUUGCUCUUGAGAUUUUGGGUUUUUAUUCAAUUAAAGACUUUGGAGUUUAUUCAUCUUAUUCUUGUGCAAUUGAUUUUAUAAGUUCUUCAUUGAUAAUCAUGGAUUCUUGCACAAAUAUGAGAGGCUAAUCUCUUAAACUAGGGUUAUGGGAACCUAGGCAGAUUAGCUAUGUAGAAAAAAUGUGAAACUUAUCUGUUCUAGGGUUUCUGCAUGUAUCUUAAUAUUCUUCAUGAUAAUUAAUCUCAAGUAGCUGCAGUAGCUUGAGAUAGCCUGUGUUCAUAUCCAUCCCCACAAGGGAGUUUGUGAUUGGUAAAAAAGACUAGGGCAGUGAUUUGGGAUUCACCUCAAUUUUUUAGUCCUCGCCAUCUCAUCUAAUCAUUCGAUCCCCAAAGGUGAUAGUGAACUGAGGUCGUAGAAAUGAGAAACAAGGGAUGCCCUAAGACUUAAUUGUUAAAGGGUGAGAUUUAUCUUCACGCCCACAAGACAGCUGAUAAUAACUCUCUUGUAGACUUUGCAUGCAGAACAAUAUAAUAGUUGGGUUGAUCGCGAGAAAUUGAUGGAGUUGAGAAGACAAGGGGAACACAAGUCUAGUCAUCAUCUCAUAUUGUCUAUAACUCAAAAGCACUUAAGAUUUGGUUAUUACUUACAAUAGAAACUAAAAUCACCCAAUUUACUUUCCUAUUCUGCUCGUGGAUUACAUCAAAGUCAAGCAACUAUUCACAUUUUAGCUGUGGGAUUGACCCCAACUUAGUUGGGUUAUUAUAUUUGCAAUCGACCGCAUUAUACUUCUAAUUAGAGUGUAUUUUGAAGGACAUCAAAUUUUGGCAUUGUAUCUUGGAAAGAUAGGUUGAGUAGUAAAUUGGUUCAAGGGUUUUAAUUUCUGUGUUUGAUUUGGCAUACACCGGUGUAUGCCAAGUACUAGGAGUAGAGGCAAUCCUUUACUCCCUUUUGAUCCAAAACUAGAGAGAAUCCUUCAAACUCUGAGGAGGAUGUCAGGACAAGUUCAUGAAGGGGUUUAAGAUCCUCCACCUAUGGAUACGAAUACGACACUCCUAUAUGAUCCAUUAGAUCCAUAAAAUACUACAGACUUAUAGACACAACAACUGUUGAAGCAAGAACAUAGAGAAGCCGAAAAGGCUAGACUUGCUGUAAAUGUGGAGUUAGCUCAACAAAGUAGACUAGUCAGGCCUACACAGAUUGUUGAUCAUCGAGUUCAGAGAGGCAGAGCUCCAUAUAUUCCGGCAUAUCAACACUUAUACCCAUAUAAGGAUGAUGAUGAAGAUCUGGGUUAUGUUGAGCCAACUAAGCCUGGAGUAAUUGUUCCUCCUAUUUUAGCCCCAAUUGUGAAGUUUUAUAUCACUAGUGCUAUUAUCCAAUUAUUGAAUUUGAGAGAUGUAUUUUUGGGUAAAACUAAGAAUGACCCAAACAUGCACCUUGCAAAUUUUCUUGGGAUCUACACAUCUUAUACUAUUCCAGUGGUUAAUCAAGAAGCAUUGAGAUUGAGGUUGUUCCUAUUUUCUCUGAUAGGAGAAGUAUCACUAUGGUUAGGGGAACUUCCAAUAGGAUCUAUCACUACUUGGCAUGAGUUGAAGAAACAAUUUCUGAGUAGAUUAUUCCCUCCUGCAUGGAUUCUAUAGUUAAAGGAUAAAAUUUACAAUAUCAGAUAGUUACCUGUAGAAUCUAUGUAUGAGGUGUGGUUUUGAUUCAAGAAAAAGCUGAGCGUGAUACCAAAUCACAGAAUCAGAGGAUCUAACUUGUCGAAAAUCUUCUAUAGAUCAUUGAAUGAUGGUUUGAGAAUUAUGGCAGACACUAUUUUAGGAGGAACAUUUAUGUAUCUUCAUUGGGAUGUUGAGCAAAAAAUAUUAGAUGACAUUGUUGUGACUAAUAGGGGAUGACAUACUAGAGAUUCAGAACGUGGUAGUGGUACAUAUGCUAUUGGAGCAACAAAUACUUAUGGAGAAACGAAUGAUAUGGUAGUAUUACUUUGUACAAAUAUUGGGCUUCUUAUAAAGUAAUUUGCAUCAAUAAGAGUUGAGAAGGUGAAUGCAGUUGCGGCGUAGGGCUCUACUUCCAAACCAUUCAAGAUUGAAUUUGAAGAAGAGGUAAAGUAUCUUGGUCAUAGAUUAGUAGAUUUUUGAGCCCAAAGGAAAGGGAAUCAUGGUCGGAACUAUUAUAAUGAUAGAUGUAGAGAUUAGAGUACAGAUAAAGAUGGUGAUUGGUAGUGUAAGGAUGACUAUAAGGAGAAGAAUAACAAGUACAUUCUACCAGGCAGUCGAGAUACAGAGUCCAGAAUGGAGGCUUUUUUGUUUAAGCUAGUCAAAGAAAAAAAAGUCAAGAGAACUGCCUGAAGGAUAUAAAAGAUGAUCUGUUAGGAUUAAACCAUAAAGUUGAGUCACAUGAUACAGUAAUCAAGCAGUUGAAGCAGCAAUUUGGUUAGAUGUAAGCCAUAGAAAUUAGAGACACCCUGGCACUCUUCCAAGCAAUACAGUGGUAAAUCCCAAAAAUAAUAGUCAAUGUCCUGCCAUUACCACUCAGAGCGGUAAAGUCACUACAGAUCCACCUAUACUCAUUGUUGAUGAGCAAGUGAAUGAUGAUGAGUCUAUUAAUGUAGGGAGCAGUAGCAAGCAAAAUAAAGGAGAAGAGAAUGCUACAGAGUCUAUGCUGAAUCCCAUUCCAAAACGUCUUCCUCCUUAUCCACAAAUGAUUAAGAAGAAACAAAAGGAUGAUAAGUACCAGAAGUUUUUAUCUACGCUAAAAGAAUUAUCAGUCAACAUAUCGCUAGUAGGGGAAUUAAAGCAAAUGCCUGGAUAUGGAAAAUUCAUGAAGGAUCUAAGCACCAAGAAAAGAGUAGUCGGUUAUGAGCCGGUUAACAAUUUUCAUCAUUGUAGUGCUAUAGCUACUAGAUCAUUGGUGGAGAAGAAGGAGGAUCCUGAUUCUUUCACUAUACCUUGCACCAUUGAAUCUUUCAACUUUGUGCAUGCUUUGUGUGACUUGGGUACUAGUAUCAACCUCAUUCCAUUUUACGUAUUUAUGAAAUUGGGUUUGAAAGCUCCAAAACCCACCACCAUGAGACUAGUAAUGGUAGAAUGAAGUGUGAAAAAGCUAGUUGGUAUCUUAUAUAAUGUAUUGUAAAGUGGCUUCUUUCAUUUUUCCUACUGAUUUGUGGUCUUAUAUUAUGAAGUGGAAUUCCAAGUCCCAAUUAUUAAUGUGCAUAAUGAUGAGACGAAUUUAUUCCAUGAUGUUGAUGCAGUGACUCUGUGGGACAGUGGUUUUGAUGCGGUUGUUUUGAUUAAAGAGGGACUAGGUGUUGAAUCCUUGAAUCUAUAAUCAUGAAUUUUGACUCUCAUGGUAUCGAGGAGUAUGAAGAGUUAGUAAGUACACUGUAUAGGAGUGGUUCUUAUAAUUUUGCACCAAAGAAGCUUGACUUAGACUUGAAUAAUAGAAAGACUCCACCAGCUCUCCCAUCCAUUGAGGAACCACUUGUAUUAGAGCUUAAGUCCCUCUUGUUGCGAUAUGCAUUUUUGGGGGCAACAACACUUUGCCAGUUAUUAUUGAAGCUGAUUUAAGAUAUUCAAAAGUAGAAUCAUUAUUGUUAGUUUUGUAGAAUUUCAAGAGGGCGAUUGGAUGGUAUAUUACAGAUAUUAUGAGUAUUCCACCUAGUUUGUGUACUCAUAAAAUACAACUUGGGCUGGAUUGUAUUCCAUCUAUUGAUCAUCAAUAUCAACUUAAUCCUGCUAUAUAAGAGGUGGUUAAGAAAGAGAUCAUCAAGUGGUUGGAUGUUGGUGUGGUAUUUCCAUUGCAGAUAUCAAGUAGGUCAAUCUAAUACAAUGUGUUCUGAAGAAAGGUGGAAUAACUUAUGUACCUAACGAAAAGAAUAAGCUCUUACCUAUGAGACCAUUCAAUAGAUGAAGAGUGUGCAUGGACUAUAUAAAUUGAAUACAUGGACUCAGAAGGGCCAUUUUUCCAUGCCUUCCAUGGAUCAGAUGUUAGAUAGGUUACCAGGAUGAGGAUGGUACUAUUUUCUUGAUGGAUACUUAGGCUAUAAUCAGAUCACUAUUGCACCUAAAGACCAAGAAAAGAUGACUUUUACAUUUCCUUUUGGUACCUUUGCAUUCAAAUAAAUCCCAUUCGGGCUAUGCAACACCCUAACCAUAUUUCAGAGAUGUAUGAUGUCUAUUAUCUCUGAUAUGGUCAAAGACACCAUUGAAGUUUUUAUGGAUUAUUUGUUCAUAGCUGGUGACUCUUUUGAUGACUGUCUCAGUCACUUGGCAAAGGAUCUAUAAAGGUGUGAAGAAUGCAACUUGGUACUUAAUUGGGAAAAGUGCUAUUUUAUGGUUAAAGAAGGAACUGUGCUUGGGCACAAGAUUUCAAAGAGAGGCAUAGAUAUUGAUCGAUCAAAGAUUGAGGUGAUUGAAAAAUUUCCUUACCUAAUUUCUAUGAAGGGAAUUCAAAGUUUCAUAGGACAUACAGGUUUUUACAGGUGAUUUAUCAAGGACUUCUCAAAGAUUGCUAAUCCUCUUUGCAAGCUUCUUGAGAAGGAGGUAAAAUUUAGUUUUGAUGAUGCAUGUAAGAAUUUUUUUGAAAGCCUAAAAGAGAAGUUGGUGACUGCUCCAAUCAUUGUGUCUCCCGACUGGUACUCACCUUUUGAGUUUUAGUGUAAUGCUAGUGGAGUGCCCUUAAGGGCUGUACUAGGCCAACGGAAAGAAAAGAUCCUUUAUCCCAUGUACUAUGCUAGUAAGACACUAAGUCCUGCUCAAAAGAACUAUACUAUAAUAAAGCAAGAGUUAUUGGCAGUGGUUUUUUCCUUUGAAAAGUUUAGAUCUUACGAGAUUGGGAUAAAGGUGAUUGUGAACACUGAUCAUGUUGCAUUGCGGUACCUAAUGGUUAAAAAAGAUGCAAAGCCUAGCUAAUUCGGUGGGUGAUUUGGUUGCAAGAAUUUGACUUUGAGGUGAAGGAUAGAAAAGGCACAGAAAAUCAAGUUGCAGAUAACUUAUCUAGAUCGGAGGAGGAAGCUAUACAAAAGGUUUCUAAUGGGUUGGAGAUUGAUGAAAGAUUUUCUAGAUGAGCAGAUAUUGGCAGCUUCUCAAGAUCUAAUUCCAUGGUUUGCAGAUUAUGCAAAUUACUUAGCUAGUGAUCUAAUCCUGGAAGACCUUUCACAUCAGCAAAGGAAGAAGUUCAUGCAUGAGGUAAGGAAAUUUUUCUGGGAUUGAUCUUACUUAUUUAAGAUUUGUGUAGAUGGAACCAUUCACAGAUGCAUACCUGAGCUGGAAGUGAUGUGCAUACUUGAAGCUUGUCAUUCAUCGGCAGUUGGGGAUCAUCAUGGAAAGUCCCUCACAACUCAUAAAAUCCUACAAUAUGACUACUAUUGGCCAACUAUAUACAAAGAUGCUCAUGACUACACUUCUAACUGUGAUCAAUGUCAGCGACAAGUUACUAUUUCUAAAAGACAUGAACUACCUAUGACCCCUAUGUUAGAAUUUAAAGUGUUUGAUGUAUGGGGCAUAGAUUUCAUAGGACCUUUCAUGAGUUCGUUUGACAUGAAAUACAUACUUGUCUAUAUACUUUGUUUUAAAUUGGGUGGAAGCGAUUGCAUUACCUAACAAUGAAGCACUGAAGAACGCUGUGUCACUACAUUCUUUAGAAAGAAUAUUUUCUCUCAAUUUGGCAUGCCACGAGCUAUUAUUAGUGACGGAGGGUCACAUUUCUGCAAUCAUCUUUUCAAGAGUCUAUUUGAAAAAUAAAGAAUUAAACACAGGGUGGCAAUUCCCUAUCAUCCGCAGACUAGUGGACAAGUUAAAGUGUUCAAUAAAGAAAUCAAGUCCAUAUUGGUCAAGAUUGUUAAUGCCAAUAGGAAUGAUUGGGCAAGAAAGUUAGAUGAUGCAUUGUGGGAUUACUGCACAGCUUAUAAAACCCCUAUAGGUGUCUUACCUUAUAAGUUAAUGUAUGGAAAGGCUUUCCACUUACCAAUCAAGCUUGAGCAUAAGGUGUUGUGGGCGUAAAAGAAGCUGAACCUAGAGUGAAAGGAUGCAUCUAAGUCAAGGUUGAAUAAUAUCAAUGUGUUUGAUGAAUUUUAGCUUUGGGAAGAUCACAUUUCAGUACUUUACAAGGAAAAUAUGAUGUUGGAUCACGACCGCAAAAUUGAGAAGAGAGUAUUCAAAAAGGGUGACCAAGUAAUGCUCAAAAAUUCCAAGAUUCAUUUGUUUCCAGGUAAGCUAAGGUCAAGGUGGUAUGGUCCAAUAACGGUGAUAAGAGUCUAUCCCUAUGGUGCUUUAGAAUUGAAGAGGGAUUGUGAGCACUCGUUCAAGGUAAAUAGUCAAACAGUGAAGCACCACUUGGGAAAUAUAAAAGACGUGAAUAAAGUAGCUAAUAUUGACCUUUAUGAAAACUAAGUAAUCAAGGUAAUUGCAUCGUGCUACAAUGUUAAAUCAAGUGCUGUAUGGGAGGCAGCCCAUGGUCUAAGUGGUGAAAUUUGAGUAUCCAACUUAGCCACAUCAUGCCGCGACAUUAAAUCUAGCAUUGCAUAGGAGGCAACCCAUGUUUUUGUACUUAUUCAUUUAUAGGGUAACAUGUUUGUUUAGUGUGCAGGACUUAGGAAUGCAGAAAAUAUCCAAAAAAGCUAAAAAAAUUUGGUUAUAUAGACUCCUUACGAGUCAUAUCUAGAUAGUAUGAAUCAUAUGUAGGAUUCUUACAAACCUGGUAGAAAAAUCAGAAUCAAGUAAAAGUUUUUUGAAUGGAAACGAUUCUCAGAAUGAGUCGUACCUUCAAGGUAUGACUCUUCACCUUGAGUUGAACCCACUCCAGAACCUAGGUAAGGUUCUAUGUCUAUGCAAGUCAAAGAAACGACCCGUAAGCUUGGGUAUGAGUUGUAUACAUAACUGUACCCAUGCUUACCAGGUCAAAUCGUUGGUCGACUCGGCCAGAUCUUAAAUUGAAAAAAAGAAUGGGCACCCAACGGGUACCCAACAAUAAAAAGGUGUACCCAUCUUCAUUUUUGCCCUAAAUUCAAGUGAACCAUUCAUAAAUUUUCUUGUGAACAACUUAAAUCAACAACCAAUAAGUUUGAAUUUUUCAUCCUUCUUGUGUUGAGCUCGAAUUUGGGGAAGAAAAGGAUUUGAACUCAAGAAAUUUAUUCUCCAACUACCAAGUAAGUUUUUAACUGAAUGUCUUUAUUUUUCAAGAUGAAAUAAUGAAUGUUGGAUAAUAUGAACUUGAUUUGGUUGAAUACACAUUGAUGUUGAAUUUGUGGAACCCUAAUCCUUAGGUUUUAGGUUGAAAAUGAGGAAAAUUGGGAAAAAAUUCAAUGUAGUUGGUAUGUUAUAUGUUUAUGUUCUCAAAAUGGAUUAUAUUUUGCAUAGAGUAGAUGGGUAUUUUAGGUAUUUGAUUUAGAGUCAAACUCUAAAGUUGGACUUGUAUAUUGUAGUGGAUACAAGACUCUUUAUAACUCAUACCCACCGGUAUGGGGGACGUAAAGGGAGUCGUACCAACUAACAAAAUAGAAGUCUAACAAUUUUAAGGUUCUGGAAUGGAUACGACUCGACCAUACGAGUUGUACAUAGACCAUACGACUUGUACACUCUUAGUCGUACCUAACUAGGAGGAUUAAGUUUGGAACUAAUUUUAUGUGCUAUAUAAGAUACGACUUAUUAAUAUGAGUCGUACCUAGUGGAUACGACCAGUAUCCACCACUCGCACCCUGACUAGAAUAGGUAUACUGAACUUUAAUUUCAGAUUUUUGUUUUCUUUUCUUUACUAGCUAAUAAUAGUAUAUUUCCAGGGACCAUGCCUCCCAAAAAUGCUUCCUUAUCUAAUCAAGUGACAAAAAAGAGUACCAAGCUUGUACCGGUGGCUAACUCAGAAUCCAUUAUUUCAGAGAUUGAGCCAUCAACUGAAAGUAGUGGUGAACUCUACAACAACUACACAAAGGGCAUGGUAACAUAAAAAGGGAAAGCAACAAAGAAAGUGAAGGGGAAGAAAAUGGUAUCCCAAGAAUCGAAAUCACCCCCUAAAGGCCUAAAGAGAAAGAAUCUAUCUGUAUCUCCUCAGUAUACACCACUACCUUCUACUGGUGAUGAGGAUGAUGAGGCUGAAUCCAGUUCAAAAGAGGUAAAGUUUGAGCAUGCUAGAACUGCGGAGUAUGUGAAUGACCUCUAGUAGCCCAACAUGACCCACUACUUGCUCUUACCACUACCCUGAUGCCCCUCGAUGAAUGAUGGGGGUGCUAAAAAAUGUAGGAUAUAUUCAAUAGUGGAUUAUUCAGGCUUUAGGGUGGAAAGAUAAGAAGAUUACUCUAUCCAGAGCAAAGGUUGAUAACAGUCAGAAUUGCCUGGAUUCGAGCAACACUUUCGUCAGUAUGGUUAUGAGUGGAUGAGUCGGGAGCCUAGCAAGUAUAGUGAGGUGCUCGUUCAAGAAUAUAAUGUAGCAUAUAAAGGCAAAAUUUAGAGAAAAUACCCGCAAUGUCAAUUAUGGAAGGGCGGUGAGCCAAUUACAUCACUAGUGAUUCAAGAAGUCUGGGUAGACAUUUCCCCAUGGAUUAUUGGAAGAUUUUUAUAUGGAUCAAAGUAUCAGGCUCCAAAAAACACUGAGGAAAUAGACUACAGAAUGGAUGAAAAGAGGAAUAUAGUUAAGAGAAUAGUGGGAUCAAAAGAGAGAUAGUUAUAUUUAGGUGGAUUAUGGAGCAGAUAGCUUCGAAUGGUGAAAAUGUAAUUUAGGUUACAAGACGCCCCUAGGUGGACUCCCAAUAGUUUAAAAAGAGUACCCUCAACUUUGAGGGUAAAUAAUGGUGGACGAGAUGAUAUGAUAAGCCCGGUCUGGGGCUCUAUGAUAGCCAGCUUCAUAGCUAGCUAUGAGUUAGAUAUAGGGGAUUUUUUAUCCUAAGAGAUGUGGGAUUAUGCUAUUGGGGGUGAAUAACCGUUAUUGGCCUACCCCUGUAUGAUUACACAGAUAUGUCUGGCUACAGGAAUUUUGGAACUCCCUAGUAUAGAUGAAAUGAUUGAGGCCUUGCAAACCACUGAUUUGAGCCUGAUUAGAGAUGAGGCAAAUCCUUUAGCCAGAUAUUCAUGACAGAUAAUAGAUUUGAUGACAUGUAUGUUCCUGCAAAGAGGUCAAGCUAAUACUGAUGCUGCUGAGGCAGAAGAGCAGAUGGAGACUUCAUAUACAGAUAUAGUAGGUACUUCAAAUGCCCCACCACCGGUAUAGUCUAUGUCACCCAGGCCCCAAGGUAUGCCCUCUGGUAUUGUGAUGAUUUCACAGGCACUAUAGACUGAGGUGAUAACCAGACUAGCCACAUCGAAGGCCAAGGUCGGGCAUAUAAAAAAAAGGCGUGAGGCCAUGCCUGGAUAAUCAGUUAGAGACAUGAGAUAGGCGAGUCUAGAGUAGGCUAGAUAAUUUUGAGUUGAGAAUUACUUGACAACUUAGUAGUGGGUAGAUGCUAGAUAUUACUAGAAUAAUAACUGAGGUUGUAGAAAUUAAGAAGAUGGUACAUGAGCUUUAUGAUAGAUCGGUGAUUCCAGAGCUUGUGAUUGAAACUGUGGUGUCCAUUAUCCAUGUUCUGAAUAUUUGGACAAUUUUGAAGCUGAUAGUUAUGGAUAAUGAAGAUAAGAAACAAGAAAGAAAGUAAAGAAAGAGAGACAAGAAAGUUUCUAAGAAGAAGGCUAGAGCCGAUAGCCUAUAGAGCGAGCCGGAUCAGGAAACAAGGUCCGUGAGAUAGCCGCUGAAGUUGAUAGUUUGAGAUUACCUAUUGUUAAUGUUAAGGGGGACAAUACUAUGACCCCUACUAUUUCUGAUUCUAUCCCACUAUCUUAUGGAAAAAUUGUUGAUGAGAGUGGGACCCGAUUUGAGGGCCCACCUGCUGAUAUUGUUGAGCCGGCACCUUGAGUGUCGAUGUAUGACCUUUUAUACUUAUUUUGUUUAUUAUUUUUAGCACUGGUGACAAUGCAACAAUUUUUAGUUGGGGGUGGGGGUUAUGCCGAAUAACUGGAGUAGUUGAAAAGUAAAAGUAGCUAACAACUCCUUUACGACUUGCGGUUCGGUGCUGACAAAGUGCGAAAAUAGGGAGAAUCUUGACACCUUUUUUUAGUUGUUUAUUAGAUUUUGAGAUAUUUUGAAACAUUAUUUGUAAAAAAUGUUGAUUUUUAAACUGAUUUGGAAUUUUAUUUGUGAAUUUGAAUUUGGAACUGCUGCUGAUUUUAAAGGGUUAUGCCGAGAAUCUGUAUUAAACAAAAAUUAUGUCAAAAAUUGACCCCUUCAAAAAUUUUAUUUUACUGUGUAAUAUGCAUAUUUGUAUGAUACUAUUGUAAAUAUAGAAAUGGCACUAGGAUUAGGGAUGGAACAGUUAGGGACAAAAUAGUUGUAUAGUUGGAUAACUAGUACUUAGUAGUGUAACCCUGUGCAAGUGCCUAUGUGGUCUAUUCAGUUCCCGGUGUGUUGGAAUCUAGAACUUUCCUAGUUGCUUUUACCUAGUUCUAGGAUAGUUAGGUAGGAGGUGAUCAUAGGUCUAUGUUGUACAAGUACACUUGAGCCUAAAAUCCCCUAACCAAAUUAAUGAAUCUCUUUGAUCCAAAUAUUUGAGUCUUGAUAGACCAAUUUUUCUUGUUUUACCUAUCACCUUUCCGUUUAACUAACAUCGAACCUAUUUUGGCCCUGGUCCUCCUGUUGAGAUAGUUUACCUCAACUCAGGCAAAUUGCCUAAGUUGAGGGUGUUGAUUAUAGGGGUGUGUGAGAGAGAACAAGUAUGAAAAAAAUAGGUUAAAGAAAAAUAGUUAAAACUUGAGUAGGUGUGGUGAAAAUCAAAGAAAGAAAAGUUGCAAUGAAAAGCAAAAGGCAAACAAAAAGGAAAAAUAAGUUUUAGAAAACCACACUUGGCCCAAUUAGAAUUUGCUUAAAAAGAAAAAGGGAGACACAAGGGUGAAAAUGAAAGAAGACGUGAAAAGUAAUUGGUCUGUAUGCCCAAGUGUCUAUUUCUAAUGUAAUUCCAUUAUUAGAUUCUUUUGUGUUUCUACGUGUGCUAAAUACUAUAUUGUAACGCCCCAAAAAUGGGUCCUGGAGAAUCACACAGUGCUUAAGGCUACGAGUAGCCCCAAGCUAACCCUUUGAGCCAUUUUCAUUCAGUUCAAUACAAAUCAACGGGGUUUUCAUAAAUAACCCUCAAAUAUCAACAGAGUAAUCAUCAUCCAAGAAUAAAAGAAUUUCAGAAAGAUAACAAAAUAUGACUUAUUAGUCAACUCCCAACAUCUAUACAAGUCUGACAAGCCUCUAAGAAAUCAAUAAAACCAGCGAGCCAUUUAGACAUGCCUCAACUGACUCAUACUCAGUUAUCAAAUGUAAAUAAUUCCAUGAAAUCAACAUCAGACAUCACGUCCUCGAAACAUGAGGACUCACCAUGACAGAGGAUGUAGAACAGCAUGCCCAAAGAAUCACUGUUGAACCUGGAACUGAGCACCUGAACCUACAUUCUGAGAAAAUGCAGCCCACAUCCGAAGAUGUGGGUCAGUACNNNNNNNNNNNNNNNNNNNNNNNNNNNNNNNNNNNNNNNNNNNNNNNNNNNNNNNNNNNNNNNNNNNNNNNNNNNNNNNNNNNNNNNNNNNNNNNNNNNNNNNNNNNNNNNNNNNNNNNNNNNNNNNNNNNNNNNNNNNNNNNNNNNNNNNNNNNNNNNNNNNNNNNNNNNNNNNNNNNNNNNNNNNNNNNNNNNNNNNNNNNNNNNNNNNNNNNNNNNNNNNNNNNNNNNNNNNNNNNNNNNNNNNNNNNNNNNNNNNNNNNNNNNNNNNNNNNNNNNNNNNNNNNNNNNNNNNNNNNNNNNNNNNNNNNNNNNNNNNNNNNNNNNNNNNNNNNNNNNNNNNNNNNNNNNNNNNNNNNNNNNNNNNNNNNNNNNNNNNNNNNNNNNNNNNNNNNNNNNNNNNNNNNNNNNNNNNNNNNNNNNNNNNNNNNNNNNNNNNNNNNNNNNNNNNNNNNNNNNNNNNNNNNNNNNNNNNNNNNNNNNNNNNNNNNNNNNNNNNNNNNNNNNNNNNNNNNNNNNNNNNNNNNNNNNNNNNNNNNNNNNNNNNNNNNNNNNNNNNNNNNNNNNNNNNNNNNNNNNNNNNNNNNNNNNAUCUAUCAAAAUCAACCACGUUGUGGAUUUCUUUCACACUUGAGUUCAAAACAACUCCAUUAAGACACCAAAAGGUAAUCAUUCAAAAUAUCUCAAAUAUUCAAUAUCAACAUGCUUAUAACACACACUUUCUAAAAAAACACAAUUUCCAAUGGGGAUUCACAACCUAAAUAUCAAAAUCAUGAUAAAUAUCGUUCUAGAUUCAUGUUUUAUAUCUCCACAGAUAUAAAUUCAUCUUUUAAAAUCAUAAACAUAAAGAUUUCAUAAUAAUCAUCAUAAGAUAUGUGUUCAUGCUUCAAAUUUGUAAAAAUCAAAUAAAAAUCAUGCCUUUGUAAAGAAAAUUACUUUUGGGCACAAGAACGAAAGAGAGUUCUUAUUGAAAAACCCCACAUACCUUGAAUGAUGAACUUUAGAUAGAUACUCAUUUUUGAGAUAUUAACUGUGCCUUUGAAUGAUGGUUCUUGGAGUUCUUGAACUAGGAACUUGGAAUCUUGAACAAAUUUGCAGAAUUAAUGGUGAAAUUUGGAGGUUCUUGAAGUUCUUGAACUAGGAACUUGGAAUCUUGAAUAAAUAUGCAGAAUUAAUGGUGAACUUUGGAGGUUCUUGAAGUUGGAUGUUGGAGCUUAGGGUUUUUUUUUUAGGGAAUUUGAUGAAAUAUAACAUAUAAUGCUUCUAAUAGUCUUUAAUAUAGGGUUUGGACGGAUUUUGGGUAAGGAGGAAUGACCAUAACGCCCCUAAAAAUCAACUAAUUCUUGAAUCUGUCCUUUGGUGGACUGUUCUGAUAGUCUGAAAUAGAUCAACCAUAACGUUUUACUCCAAUAACCAAAUUGGAUGAAAUAAAUUUCAUUAGAAAGAGGACUCUCAUAUCUUUCUGUUGAUAUAUAGUAUCUCACCCUUAUCAUUAUGUACGACGAGUUAUGAUCAUUUGAAGUUGACCCAAAAAUUUACUUUUGAUAGGCUGCAUUAGAUCGACCAUAACUUUUUGCUCCGAUAGACAAAUUGGAUGAAACUAAUUUCAUUGGAAAGAGAACUCACAAAGCUUUUCUUUGAUAUAUAUUAGGUCACCUAGAUCAUUAUGUACAAGGAGUUAUGAUCGUGUUUAUGUUUUAGUUUUAGUUUGCCUAAGGACAUGCAAGAGUCUAAUUUGAGGGUGUUGAUGUGGUGUGGAAACUUGACACUUUCGAUGCUUAAAACUAUGAAUUUAAGCAUGAACUUAGGAUAUUUUGUUUGAUAUGAUGCACUUUAGUUUACAUUGCAGGUAAAACAGGUCUAACACAGUAUUUGAUUCAAAAGAGGAGAAAAAGACCUAAAAAGGACCAAUUCUGAUCAGGGUAUGAGUCAGCCCAUAUGAAUAAACAUCUAAUAUGACUCGUAUGCUCAAUCGUAUAAAUAACAGAACCAAAAUCCAACCUGAGAAGCUAAGUAUUGUAAAUAUACGACUCAAGUAUCCAAGUUUCAUGCUAGGAUAUGAGUCAUACAAUUCAGUCAUAAGCAUAACAGAAACUAAUCUACCUUCUAGAUUUGAAGUCUUAGAAGUAUACGAGUCAGAAGUCUGAAUAAUACUUGUACAGGGAAGUCGUACAUAAAUAAUUGUUCAAAUAUUUAAAAGAAAAAAGUCCUAGGUGGAUAUGAGUGAAGAACAUGAGUCGUACACUCAAGUACGACUCGUAAGCAAAAGUCGUAAGCUGAAUAGAAAGUUGAAGCCUUGGGAGAUUAGACACUAGACUGGAUAUGUGAAGGUAGGGUACGACUCGUAUGAUGCCGGUAUGAGGGAAGAAUGAGUCGUACCAACUUCCAACAUAACUUAACCUUACUUUCUUUUAUUAGGAUUUUUAUGUUAUUUUGAGAUACUAUAAAUACCAUAGGGUUUACCUUUUAUUAGGUUACACUCUUUUACAUAUUAUUACAAUACCUUUUACAACUGCUCUUGAGAUUUUGGGUUUUUAUUCAAUUAAAGACUUUAAAGUUUAUUCAUAUUAUUCUUGUGUAAUUGAUUUUAUGAGUUCUUCAUUGAUAAUCAUGGUUUAUGGCACAAACAUAAGUGGAUAAUCUCCUUAACUAGGGCUGUGGGAACCUUGGCGAAUUUGCUAUGUAAAAGAAGUGUGAGACUCAUUUGUUCUAGAGUUUCUUCAUGUAUCCUAAUCUUCUUCAUGAUAAUUAAUCUAAAGUAGAUGCAAUAGCUUGAGAUAGCCUGUAUUCGGAUACAUCCCUACAAAGGAGUUUGUAAUUUGGAAAACAUGAUUAGGACAGUGAUUUGGGAUUCACCUCGACCUUUUAGUUCCUACCAUAUCAUCUAAUAACUUGAUCACAAAAGGUGAUAGUGAACUGAGGUCGUAACAAGAAGCAGUAAGGCGACACCCUUAGACUUAACCGGUAAAGAGUGAGAUUUAUCUUCACACCCACAAGGCGGCUGGUAAUACCUUUCUUGUAGACUUUGCAUGCAGAACAAUAGAAUAGUUGGGUUGAUCUCAAGAAAUUUAUGGAGUUGAUAAGCUAGGGGGAACACAAUCAAGUUUUCAUCUCAUAUUGUCUAUAACUCAAAAGCACUCAAGAUUUGGUCACUACUUACAAUUAAAACUAAAAUCCCCCCAUUUUGUUUCCUAUACUACUCAUGAAUUACAUCAAAGUCAAGCAACUAUUCACGUUUUCCCUGUGGGAUCGACCCCAACCUAGUUCAGUUGUUAUAUUUGCAAUCUACCGUAUUAUACUUCUAAUUGGAGUGUAUUUUGGGUGAUAUCAUAGCUUUAUUGGAUUAGACAAUUAUUAUUGUUAUGACUCGAACAAGGGCCUAGUCAUGAGGGGUAUCUCAAGUCCUCCAAGGACUAGAGACCACCCCCCAUUAACCUAGCCAACUAAAACACAAUAUAAGUAGCAUCAGAUGAGUUCCAAACAUAUAACAAGAUAGAACUAAAUUUCAAACAUAUAACAAGAUAGAUAAAUCAAAUUAUCAGAUGGAUCUAAGAAUCCAUAACAUAAUCGACCCACACUCCAUCCACAAAAGCCUCUAAGAAACCAAACCAAAUAUCAAACUUGGUCGGGACAUGCCCCCGACAGUAACAGUGACAUUAAUAAUGAUGGUGACAAUGACAAUGUUAAUGUGAACUCUUAAAUUCUAAAAUAUGGAAUGACCAAGAUUUCUAAAGGAUGGAAUCUCUCUACUUCAUUGCGAACCAACCGAAUCACCUAACGUUGUAUCGGUAUAAAAGAAGUGUCUUCAGACCCUACAUUAUGAAUUAAUGUAGCGUCCUAGGACGGUUAGCGGGAUGAGCACCAGUAUGUAUACCUUUUAUUAGGUUACACUCUUUUACAUAUUAUUACAAUACCUUUUACAACUGCUCUUGAGAUUUUGGGUUUUUAUUCAAUUAAAGACUUUAAAGUUUAUUCAUAUUAUUCUUGUGUAAUUGAUUUUAUGAGUUCUUCAUUGAUAAUCAUGGUUUAUGGCACAAACAUAAGUGGAUAAUCUCCUUAACUAGGGCUGUGGGAACCUUGGCGAAUUUGCUAUGUAAAAGAAGUGUGAGACUCAUUUGUUCUAGAGUUUCUUCAUGUAUCCUAAUCUUCUUCAUGAUAAUUAAUCUAAAGUAGAUGCAAUAGCUUGAGAUAGCCUGUAUUCGGAUACAUCCCUACAAAGGAGUUUGUAAUUUGGAAAACAUGAUUAGGACAGUGAUUUGGGAUUCACCUCGACCUUUUAGUUCCUACCAUAUCAUCUAAUAACUUGAUCACAAAAGGUGAUAGUGAACUGAGGUCGUAACAAGAAGCAGUAAGGCGACACCCUUAGACUUAACCGGUAAAGAGUGAGAUUUAUCUUCACACCCACAAGGCGGCUGGUAAUACCUUUCUUGUAGACUUUGCAUGCAGAACAAUAGAAUAGUUGGGUUGAUCUCAAGAAAUUUAUGGAGUUGAUAAGCUAGGGGGAACACAAUCAAGUUUUCAUCUCAUAUUGUCUAUAACUCAAAAGCACUCAAGAUUUGGUCACUACUUACAAUUAAAACUAAAAUCCCCCCAUUUUGUUUCCUAUACUACUCAUGAAUUACAUCAAAGUCAAGCAACUAUUCACGUUUUCCCUGUGGGAUCGACCCCAACCUAGUUCAGUUGUUAUAUUUGCAAUCUACCGUAUUAUACUUCUAAUUGGAGUGUAUUUUGGGUGAUAUCAUAGCUUUAUUGGAUUAGACAAUUAUUAUUGUUAUGACUCGAACAAGGGCCUAGUCAUGAGGGGUAUCUCAAGUCCUCCAAGGACUAGAGACCACCCCCCAUUAACCUAGCCAACUAAAACACAAUAUAAGUAGCAUCAGAUGAGUUCCAAACAUAUAACAAGAUAGAACUAAAUUUCAAACAUAUAACAAGAUAGAUAAAUCAAAUUAUCAGAUGGAUCUAAGAAUCCAUAACAUAAUCGACCCACACUCCAUCCACAAAAGCCUCUAAGAAACCAAACCAAAUAUCAAACUUGGUCGGGACAUGCCCCCGACAGUAACAGUGACAUUAAUAAUGAUGGUGACAAUGACAAUGUUAAUGUGAACUCUUAAAUUCUAAAAUAUGGAAUGACCAAGAUUUCUAAAGGAUGGAAUCUCUCUACUUCAUUGCGAACCAACCGAAUCACCUAACGUUGUAUCGGUAUAAAAGAAGUGUCUUCAGACCCUACAUUAUGAAUUAAUGUAGCGUCCUAGGACGGUUAGCGGGAUGAGCACCAGUAUGUAACUCAAGAUAAAGAAUUAAGUAAUGUCAUUUCAAAUUUAAUCCAAACUCAAGUAUAUGUUCACAUACAUGCAAAUAUGCAUAUACAUAAUUCCGGGGUAGGGAACAAGGUUUACGUAUGAACUUUAAAGCCAUUAACCUAGAUUGUGUAGCUCUAACUGUCCUAAAAAUAUCCAGGUGCUAUAUAGGUCUGGCUACCCCGCCGGAAGGGCCUCAGUGCAUGUUAGUAGCAUGAACUUGAGAAAUACAAGGAAGGGCUAAAGCCACUGAGGCUCCAACUAUUCCAAGAAUAUAGAUAUAUAAAGUGUGAACUACGCCCUCGGCCAACAAGGCCCCCACUCCAGCAAAUGUGGUUCCCAGUAUUGGUCCCCCAGAGACCUCCACCCUCUACGUCAAGCUACCAACUCUCUUUAAGCCCAAUUAAAAAAUUUAAUACGUAAAUCAUCUAUUUAAUGAAAAAAUUAUCCAUUUAGGCAUUUAUGUAAUGGUAUCUUCAUACCAAUUGAAUUUGCAAGUGAAUUCCACCAUGCCAUUAAAAUUAUCUACAAGCUUGGGGGGAUCCAUGACCACCAAUCUCUGGUCUAAGAUCAUAACAUAGACACUAGGGCCUCUUAAAUCCAUUUAUAGUCCUUUAACCUUUUAUGAAAUGCAUUAGUUUAGAAAAAGUGGGCAAACCAUAUUUUGAGCCAAUUAUACAAGUGGGUUGAGGUUAUUAGCGAUUCCAAUACCAAAAUCCAUUUAUUUGAGGGAAUCCAUGACCCUCAUCCCAUUAUCCAUGCCCAUGCACCCCAAUGAGUUCAAAAACUAUAAAUUCAACACAUAAAUAAUUCACAAAAGCCAUGAGAAAAGCAAUUCCAUCAAUAACAUUCAAAGAGCCCCAACCCAAUUUCUAAAACCAUUAAUUAAUCACAUGAAUAACCAUCCUAAACACAUGAUUUUAAUAAAACAAGUUUAGGGGAAGAGAUACAUUUUUAAAAGUAUCACAAUUAUGGAGAAAAGUCACCAAAUGAACGUCUAAAUGCCAAAUACUUAGAAACCCUAGCUUGUUCUUCCUUUGGGAAUUUGAGAGAGUUUUAAAGUAUUUUAAAAUUGAGUAAUGGGGAGUUAUAGGGUCCCUUAGGGUAUUUUAGGUCGUGACUUAUGAUUGGGGAAAGAAGAAUUGACCAGAGUGCCUCCAAUUAAGACACAGGAAAGUUGUCACCAAUCGUUAUAGGUCACAUCAUAACUCAUGAUGACUGGGUACGAGUCAUUACCUAAACUCAUAGUCUGGGCAGACUCUUAAACAUCCUUGACUAGUUUGGUAAAGAGUCACACCCUAUGACUCGUUACCUCACCUUAUGACUCAUACAAGUCCAGUAGUGAGAUCGAUAGAAAGUUGGGCGUUCCUUAGUGGUUUAUCAAUGACUAGAUCUCUACGACUCAUAAUGAGUCUUCACAACUCAUGAGAUCAAUGUUGUACUCAAGAUAGAAACUUUUGAUAUUCCACUGGUUAGGUAAUAAGUCCCUCCCUAAGACUCAUGACCACACCUUACGACUUAUGAGAUUUCAGUCGUAGCCUAGGCAGUGAGCUCAAAACUCAAAAAUUUUAGAGGCAAAAAUAUAGGGUGUUACAUUAGCACCCUAGAAUCAUUUGUCCCCAAAUAAGGAGUUAAAGUAUCCAUUAGCACGAAUGUAAGACAAGGAUGCAAUCACUAAACCUUUAACAAAGUCAGAUAGGAAAACAGUACGAAACGUAUAUUGUAAGCACGAUUAUCCAACCCGGGGAACAAGAAAGAAUAUUUAGACUUCAUUUCUUCUUCAGCCUCCUAAGUAGCUUCUUCUACCUUGUGGUUCCUAAAAAUGACCUUCAUCAAAGCUGCAUCUUUAGUCCUUAAAUGACGGACAUGCCUAUCAGAAAUGUCAACAUAAACUUCCUCAAAAGACAAGAAAUUCGAAAUAUAAGCACUCUCAAUAGGCAUAUCAAAAGAAACCUCACCCACGUACUUCUUCAACAUCGACACAUUAAAAAUCGAGUGUAUGGAAUCCAAACUCGAAGGAAAAUAUAAUUCAUAAGAAAUAUUGCCCACUAUCCUUAAAAUUAAGUACGGACCCACAUAACGAGAAUUGAGCUUCCCCUAUUACCAAACCACAUCACUCCCUUCAUAGGAGAUACCUUUGAGAAGGCCCAAUCGACGAUCUCAAAUAUAACUCUUUUUGUCGUACAUCCGCAUAGGACUUUUGGCAACUCUAUGCAGACUUAAGCCUAUCACUAAUUACUUUCACCUUAUCCAUGGCUUCGUGAAUUAAGUCUGGACCAAAUGAUCUAGUCUCACCAACCUCAAACUAUCUAAUAGGAGAUCUAUACCUCCUUCCAUAAAGAGCCUCAAAGAAUCCAUCUCAAUACUAGAGUGUUGAUUGUUAUUGUGUGCAAACUCAAUAAGAGGCAAAUGAUCCACCCAACUAUCUCCAAAAUCAAUCACAUAGGACCUUAACAUAUCCUCCAAAGUCUGAAUGGUCCUUUCUAGUUAUCUAUUAAUCUAAAGGUGGAAUGUUAUGCUAACGUUCACCUAUGUGACUAAGCCGUUCUUAAAUUAACGCUAAAAGUGAUAGAGAAUUGCGUACCUUGAUAAAAAAUAAAAGAAGCCGGUGCACCAUGCAAUCUAAAUAUAUCCUUAAUAAAUGACUUAGCAUAAUCCUCCCUAGAGUAGGUGGUCCUCACUGGUAGGAAAUGAGCAUACUUAGUCAUUUUAUCCAUAAUAACCCAAAUCAAAUCAAACUAUUUUUGAGACCGCAAAAGACCGGUAAUAAAAUCCAUAUUGAUCAUCUCCUACUUCCACACAUACAACUCUUCCUCUUGAGAGAAUAUAUGGGCCUCAACUUCUCAAACUUCACCUAUUGAAAUCCAUACACUUGGCAACAAAAUUUGGCAUGUGCCUCUUCAUAUUGUUCCAUUAAUAAAUUUCAUUAAAGUCAGGGUGCAUCUUUGUCAACCAGGAUGAAUUGUAUACCUCGACUCAUAAGCCUCAGUCAAAAUCAUUUCUCAUAGCCCAUCAAUAUUCAGAAAACAUAAUUUAUAUUGGUACCUUAAGAUACCAUCACCAUUAAUAUCAAAAGCCAUAACCUUUUGCUAGCCCACAUCAGCAUUAAUUUGCUUCAAAAUUGGAUCCAGAACCUGCUUCUCUUUCACCUUAACACCAAGAGAUGACUUCACCACCUCUUGAAAAAUCACACCUCCAUCUUUUGAAUCCAAAAGAAGAACUCUAAUAUUAGCCAAUCGAUGAAUAUCCUGCACCAAUCCUAGUGUAUCCUCAUCCACAUGAGAUAAGCUAUCCAUGGACAACUUGCUAAGAGCAUUAGUAACCACAUAAGCCUUACCUGGAUAGUAGUGAAGCCUCAUAUCACUUUUCUUUCUCAAUUAAAGCCACCACCUCUACCUAAUAUUAAGCUCUUUUUGAGUGAAACAUACUGUAAGAUCUUAUGAUAGGAAUAGAUAUCAACAUGCACCCCAUAUAGAUAAUGGAACUAUAUCUUCAACAUAAACACCACGAUUGCCAAGUCUAGAUCAUGAGUCAGUUAAUUCCUUUCACAAACUUUAAGAUGUCUAGAAGAAAAUGCUACUACCUAAUCAUACUGUGUUAAUAGAUAACCUAUUUCCACUCAAGACAUAUUACAGUAAACCAUAAAACUAUCAGUACACUUAGGAAAGGUCAAAACUAGUGUAGAAGUUAACUUAUCUUUCAACUUAUCAAAACUACUCUCAUAAACAUCAGACCACAUAAAAAUUAACCUUUUUUUAGUCAACUUAUCAAUAGAGCAGCAAUAGAAGAGAAGCUCUCCACAAACCUCCUAUAUUACCCAGUUAAACCUAGAAAGCUCUAAAUGUCAGUUGGAGACGUGGGUCUAGGCCAUAUUUUAACCGCCUUAAAUUUUUAUGGAUAUACCAUGAUCUCCUCUUGUAAAAUAACGUGACUCAGAAAGGCCGCAACAUUCAACUAAAACUCAAAUCCAUUAAAAAAAUGCUUCUCAACAUGACAUAAUAGACGCCCAAUGACCCUGACCUAGGAUCUCAUAACAAACUUGACACACCCAAACCAGGGCCUAGUGAUGACGGGUAUCUAAAUUCCACCACAGAUCAAAAACCACCCCCGUUAGCCUAACCAACUAGAACAUAAUUUAACUAGUAGUGGAUGAGUUCCAAACAUAUAACAAGAAGAACUAAAUUCCAAACAUAAAACAAGAUAGAUAAAUCAAAUAUAAAGAGUGAUCUAAGAAAUAAUCCACCCACACUCCAUCCACAAAAUCCUCUAAGAAACCAAACCAACUAUUAAAUAAAGUCAGGACAUGCCCCUGACUAUGAAAAUAACAAUAACAAUGAUAAUGGCAAUGAUAAUUUUAAUGUGAACUCUUUAAUUCUAAAAUAUUAAAUGAAACUGAUGCAAUGACCAAGUUUUUUGAAGGAUGGAAUCUUACCACCUCACCAUGGACCAAUUGGAUUACCUAAUACUGCACAGAGGUAAAAUAAGUCUCUCUGCAUCCUACAUUAUGAAAUAAUAUAGCGUUCUUAGAUGGUUAAUGGGAUGAGAGCUUGUAUGUAAUUUAGGAUAAGGGAUAAACAAAUACCAUUUCAAAAUCAAUUAAAACUCAAUGUACAUAUUCACAUACAUGAAAAUGUACAUAUAUACAUAAUGCUAGGGUAGGGAACAAGGUUUAAGAAUUAACUAUAAAAUAAUUAAUUAGGAAUGUGUAGCUCUAACCAUUCUAGAAAGACCUAUAGGCUAUAUUGGUCCAGCUACCCCUACCAAAAGGGCCUUCUUGCAUGUUAGCCGUAUGAACCGAAGAAAUCCAAGGAAGGUCCAGAGCCACUGAGGCACAAACCAUUCCACAAAUAUUGAUAUAUAGUAUGUAAAUUAUACAUACGGCCACCAAGAUCCCCACAUCGGCAAACGUGGUUUCUAGUAUAUGUCCCUCUGGGAGCUCCCCCUUCCACGAUGAGCUACACAACCCCAUUUAAGACCAAUUAAAAUAUUUAGAACAUAACCCAUCUAUUUGAUCAAAAAUUAAUCUAUUUAUGUAUUUAUCAAAUGGUCUUAUCAUACCAAUUAAACUUGCAAGUCAAUUCUACUAUGCAUUCCAAUUAUACACCUGCUUAGGGGAAUUCAUGACCUCCAAGCUCUAAUUUAAGAUCAUAUCAUGUUCACUAGGUCCUUUUAAAGAAAUUUAUAGUUUUUUAAUAUUUUAUACAAUAGAUUAGUUUAUAAAAAGUGGGCGAAACCAUAUCUCGAGCCAAUUAUGCAAGUGGGUUGAGGUUAUUACCAAUUCCAAUACCAAAAUCCAUUUAUCUGGGAGAAUCCAUGAUCCCCUAAUAUUAUCCAUGCCUAUUUACCCUAAUGAUUUUAAAAACUAUCAAUUUAACAUAUAAAUAAUUCACAAAAGCCAUAGGAAAAGAAAUUCCAUCAAUAACAUUUAAUGGUCCCCACCCCAAUUUCUAAAAUUAUCAAUUAAUCACAUGAAUAGAAACACAAAACACAUGUUUUUAACAAAAAAAGUUUAGGGGAAUAGAUACAUUCCCUAAAGUAUCAUAGUUAUGAAUACAAAUCAACAAUUGAAGCUCUAAAUGCUAAAUCCUUAGAAACCUUAGCUUGUUCUUGCUUUUGGAAUUUGAGAGAGUUUUAGAGACUUUUAAGAUUGAGUAAUGGCGAGUUAUGAGGUCCCUUAGGGUAUUUUAGGUCAUGUGUUAUGAUUGGAGAAGUGGAAAAUAGCCAAAGUUCCCCUAAUUAAAACAUAAAAAUACUAUCGCCAGUCUUUAUGAGUCAUAUUAUAACUUGUGAAAACUAGGUAUGAGUCAUUGCCUUGACUUGUAAAUCGGCAGAACUCUUAGACCCCUUUUACUGGGUUGGUCAUAAGUCACACCUUACAACUCAUUACAUCACCUUAUGACUCAUAAGGGUCCAGUCAUAAGAUUAAUAAAAACUUAGGCAUUCUUCACAAGUUUGCCUAUGACUUGAUCCUAAUGGCUCUUAAUAAGUCUUCAUGAAUCAUGACAUUUAUAUCGUACUUAGGACAAAAACUUUGAAUACUCUAAUGGUUUGGUAAUGAGUCCCUUUCUACAACUCGUGACCACACCUUAUGACUUAUGAGGUGCUAGUCGUAGCUUGGGCAGUGAGCUCAAAACUUAAAAUUUCAGAGGCAAAAAUCUAGAGUGUUAUAAUAAUAAAAAAUUUGUUGAGAGUUUUGCUACUAUUUCAGCACCUAUGAAAAAAUUAACUUGAAUAGAGGUCCCUUUACGAUGAUCUAAGGAGUAUAAUUCAAAAUUUUUAAAGCUCAAAGAGUUUCUUACAUCGGCUCUUAUUUUGGAUAUUUUUGUUGAGGGCAAGGGUGUCACCUUGUACUAUGAUGCUUCUAGUAUUAGUUUGGGUCCUGGGUUGAUGCAGUAGGGUCGUGCCAUUGCUUAUGCUUUGAGGUAGCUAAAGGUGCACAGGCACAACUAUAUUACUCUUAAUUUAGAGUUGAUAACGAUAGUAUUCAUGCUUAUAAUUUGGAGGCAUUAUCUUUAUGGGCUGCAUUGGGAGGUCUUUACAGAUCAUUGUAGUCUUUAACAUCUUAUGACAUAGAGAGAGUUUAAUGCUAGGCCUUAUAGAUGGAUGGUGCUUCUUAAUGAUUAUGAUAUCCUUAUCCUAUAUUAUCGAGCAAGGUGAAUAUGGUAGUAGACUUCUUGAGUCAGAAGACAGUGAGUAUGGGUUGCUUGGCUUGAAUUUUUCUUUAUUAGAGGCCAUUGGCAUGGUACAUUUAGUCCUUAUCCAUCUUGAUGGUACGAAUUGAUAUUUUAGAUCCUAGAAGUAUUCUUUCUAGGGUUGAGGCGAGGUCCUUACUACUUGAGUAAAUUUAGGAUCUCUAGUCUGAGGAUAAGAGACAUUGCAUUAUUUGAGAUCAGGUGUUGAGUGGUGAGUCCAAUAGGGCUACCAUAGAUUCUGAGGUUGUCUUUAGAUUGAUAUCCAUAUUUGUGUUCGGAGGGUUAAAGACCUGAUUUUGUUAAUUUUACAUGAGGUUCACAGCUUUAGAUACCUUAUUCACUUGGGCACCACUAAAAUGUAUAAAGAUUUUUGAUAAUAUUAUUAUUGAAGUGGUAUAAAGAGAGAUAUGGUAGACUUUGUAGCACGUUGCCUAUAUUGUCUGCAAGUGAAGGCCGUGCAUCAACAAACAGGUGGUUUGAUUUAGAGAUUGCCUAUUUUUUGAGUGGAAAUAAGAGCAAAUUACCAUUGACUUUGUUGGGGGUUCCCUCGUACUUCCCAUAGUUCUUACUAUAUUUGGGUCAUUAUGGAUUGAUUGAGGAAGUUAGCAUAUUUCAUUCUUAUUCAGAUGUUUUUUAGUGUCGAGAGGUUGGCUCAUAUUUAGGUUAGCGAGAUAGUCCAUUUGCAUGGUGUGCUUAAAUCUAUCAUUUUAGAUUAGGGUUAAGUGUUUACUUUUAUAUUUUAGAGAUCUUUAUAUAAAGAGUUGGGUACCCAGGUAGAUCUUAGUACAACCUUCCAUCCUAAGACCUAUGGCAAGUCAGAGCAGAUUAUUCAGGUUCUCAAGGAUAUGCUUCGAGCUUAUGUUAUGGUUUAUGGAGGUCAGUGGGAGGAACACUUAGACUUAAAAGAUUUCACAUAUAAUAAUUGUUACCAUUCAAGUACUGAUAUGGCACCUUUUGAGGGUCUAUAUGGCAGGUGAUCUCAUCCAUUGAUUAGAUGGUCUGAGACUACUGAGAUUAGACCUCGUGGUACUAACUUACUUCGAGAGUUAUUAGAUAGAGUCAAGGUAAUGCAGGAUAGGUGAAAGGUAGCUCAGAGUAGUUAUAAGACUUAUGCAAAUAGUAAAGUUCAUGCCUUGAGAUUUGAAGUUGGUUGUUUGGUAUUUUUCUGAGUAUCACUCAUUAAGGGUAUGAUGAGGUUCGAGAGGAAAGGCAAGCUCAAUCCCAGAUAUAUUGGACCCUUUGAGAUUCUUCGCACAGUGGGUGAGGUGGCUUAUAAGUUAGCCUUGCCCUCAUAUUUUUCUACUGUCUAUUUGGUUUUCCAUGUUUCUAUGUUGUGGAAGUACAUUCUUAACCCGUCUCAGUUCUUAGAUGGGUUUCAAUUUUGUUUUAUGAGUGUUUGACUUUUGUGGAGGAUCCUCUGCUUAUUUUGGCUAAUGAUGUCAGGCAGUUGUGCACCAGAGGUUCCAGUAGUUAAGGUACAAUGGAUGCACCACCUAGUAGAGAAGGUUACUUGGGAGAUCCAGAGAAAGAUAUGGACCCAGUAUCCUCACCUAUUUGAUUCUUCAGCUACAUCCUAAUCCUUUACUUUUGCGGACGAAAGUUGUUAUAGUAGUGGAUAUUGUUAUGACCUUCCAAGUUAUUUUCUAUAUUUACUCUUAUUUUUUCCAUUUAGAGAUUUCCUAUAGCUGACCAUAAGUCAUUUAUAACUUGUUGGAACUGACUAUUCAACUAUUGGGAAAUUUAUUUGGUUUUUAGGGUCAAUUCCCUACUUUGAAGCCUUUGUUGGUUCAAAUCGGCUAUCGGGAAAAAACGUUACUUAGACAGCCUUGUAUGCUGAUUCAAACUAUUCCCAUGGCAGUGAUAUUUCAAUUUUAGGUUAGGUGGAACCUUGGUCUAGAUCCAAAGGAUCUCAAACUCAUUCUGAGCUAUUGUUCCAAAGUUAAGAAAAUGGCAAGUGUGGGACCCACUUUUAAUUGAAAUGACCUUGGAUAGAAAUUUCAGCUGCACUAGUGAGCAUGGAAUAUCAAAUUAGAUAAGGUAGCAUAGUGCGAUUGUACAUACGGGGUUCCAGAUUAGUAAUGAUAGGUUGGCGGAGACUUGCAAUUUCUUUAAGUUCCAACUGUGCCUAAUAUCUAGUGUGACCGCUAAAGCGGCCCUUAGGGUGCUUUAGUAGAGUGAUAUUAGCAUCCCUUUGGGGUGCUUUAGUAGCCUUAGCUCAUCUAAUGCACCCGCGUGCCUAGGAAUGGUACAGAUAUCUACUUAGCCUGACUUUUCACCAUUUUCAUCCAUUCUUUAUAAUAUUAAACCCUAAAGAUUGGGAUUUCUUGGGAGAAUUGAUUGUGAACUUUCACAUCAUUAAUUUAUGUAAUUUCCCAUUAAAUUUGUGGUAAGAUUUCUAUUAUUUUCAUGGAUGGUUUCUCUAUUCUUAUCUAAAAUCCCUAAAUGCUUGAUGGGUUGAUUAUAGUGCCAUAAGAGCUCAAAAUCACACAUUUUUAGGGUAAAUGUUCCUCGAGAAUAGUGGAAUGUUGAGUUGAUUUUGAAAGUGGAAUUUUCAUAAAUGGGCCUCACAUAGGAAUUUUACAAAAUUUUUUACCCAAAUCACAAUAGUGCAAUAUGGGUAUCAUUAUUCUUAUUUUGAUGAGUAGACUGUGAUUUUGAUAGAGUGACACCUUGAGGAAGCUUCUUAGAAUGGAAAAAUAAUGAUUUAGUGGAUUCUUUAGGCUUUUCCUUGGCGCCUAGGUAGGCUAGGUUUACCUUCUUCAUUGAUUGAGUUAUUUCAUCUUAUGUUAUUAUGAUAGAUAUGAUUGAAAAUGUUUGGUUUAGUUAGACCAUUAGGCUAUCUUGAAACCAUAGACUUGGAGUAUUUAGUAUAGUUAUUCAUGUCUUAGGUGAAUUGUGCUUCAUGGUAUAUGUUUAGAAUGGAAAUGUCUUAAUUACUCCAGCUAGGUGAAAUUGUCCUCAGUUGCUUAAUUUAGGAGAAAUUAACAUAGUUGCUAUUGUUUUAGGUAGGAUUACUUAGUUGCUCACGUUUUGGAAUGAUUGUUAUCUUAGGUAUAUUUAUGGCUUACUUGAUAUCUAAAAAUGAAGUUAGGUACCUUAGCCUCGUCUGGGGUAGAAGUUGGCUAAAAUAGACUUUAGGGAUUUGAAGUAAGCCCCACUGGCCCACCUUAGGCCAAAACUUGUGUUAGACUUGUAGGCGUAGUUGUGCAUGAUAUAGUCUUAUUGAUGAUUUGUUUAACACUUAAGGAGAUUGAAUAUAUUUAUUUAGUAUGUUAGUUGGAUAUUGAAAAUUUUUUGCUAAUUUGGGUAAUGCUAAUGAUAUUGCUUAUACGUGAUUAAUGAUAUUAUUUAUAGAUGUGACUUAUGAUAUGGAUUAUAUAUAUAUAUAUAUGGUUUUUGAGAUGGUUUUCUGUCAUGACUCAAGAUAUAAGUUAUAGAUAUAUGAAUAAUGAUAUGACUUAUAUACAUGAUUAUUGAUAUGGCUUCCGGAUAUGAAUAACAAUAUGGCCUAUUAAUAUUCUUAAUGAUAUAGAUACCAACGUGAGUAAAAGAUAUGGCUUAUAAAUAUCAUAUGGCUUAUAGAUAUGAUAUGUCUUAUUGUUGAAAUGUAGGGGGUGCACGACCUUAUAACGGACCAGAUCCCUCUAAGUCAGAUACAGGAAAUAAAGUAGUAAAGCAGUAAGGGAAUAAAACUUUGCAGGAAAGUAAAGAACACAAUGAUUUAACGUGGAAACAUACUUGCUCAAAGGAGGAAAGACCAUAACUUGUCCUCACAAGAACUCAAGAAUCCACUAUAGUCAAAUUCAUAAUUACAGACUCCAUUUGAACUUAACUCGAAGCUUUACUAAAUUGUAACAACUCUAUUAUAAACUUCCCUUGACAACUCUGUCAUGGUCUCUUCUUAAUAUUGAUCAACUCUAAUCAAUAUCAUCUUAGGUAACUCUACCUAAGCACUAUAUAGACAAAAAAAAAAGAAUUGAAUUACUUAUAAAAGAUGAGAGUUUCAAUCACAUACCAAGAUUUUGACUCAAGAACAAUUACUCUCUUAGCACACAAAAAUUGGGAACUUGAGCAAUAUUGAGUUUUUGCUAUUUUUCUUCUUUAAUAGCCAAAUCGCUAAAACUAUUGAAUUGAGAAGCAGUCUUUUCUAUUUAUAGCAAGAUAAUGGUUAGCAUAGAAUUUUGAUUAUACUAGGUGUCCUAAUUGGUACAAAACUCACCUGCGUAGUUUGUUACACUAAUAGACAAAAUUACACAGACAUGUGAUAGUUGUAUGUAUUCAUGAAGAUCGAGGGACCUGGUCUUUUGUUGUCGUUAAUCAUUAUCAAAAUAAGAUAUAGCAAUUUCCCCUCUUCUUGAUGAUGAUAAACCACAGAUUUUUUAGCAUCAAACUUUAUUCACCUUAUUCAAUCAGAGAGAUCACCACUACCGUUCAUGAAUAUUCCCCUAUCAUUAUGCACUAUGCUUCCUGCUAUAAUUAUACCAACAUGUUUCCCUAUUCCCCCUGUCUCUAUACCAAAAUGCUUUCCCUUGUCAAUAACCUGCACUUCAACAAAUUAUUUAAUACAUGUUCCUACACCUGGUACAUGGUCCCUACCACAUGAAUUUAGUAUCCGUUCUUUUGGCAUCAGUAAAAAUUAAGAACAGUAAACCAAGAGUAAAGUAAGCACUAUUCAAUUAACUCAUAGCCAUUGAGGCAACACUAACAGUAAGAACAACUUUUAAAGUAAAGAAGAGAUAGAUGAAACACAUAAAAAAGGAUUCAUUCAUAUGUAAAAGUUCAGUAUCAAUGUAGUGCAAGAUUUAAAUUUUUUGUACCACAAAAAAAUCCACAAGAAUCAAGAAAUUUAAAUAGGUGAAAGACCUGGGAUAGGAUUUGGAGAAGUAGUGUCGUCUUAUAGCUUUAUGCAGCAUGAUAGUGUAAUAAUUCCUUGGUUAGCAGCUUUAUCUCUGCUUUAAAGAUAAGAAUCUCAUCAAUUAGAGUUGAAACUCUCUUUUUAGUUCAACAUUCUUUGUUCUUAGUUAUUCUGAGAUACUUGGUUCCUCAUUAGAAAGAUGUUGAAAUGUCAUUUUCAAUUUGGUAAUCUCUGUAUCCUUAGCAACUGUGUUGAGCUUGAAUUCUUCUAUUUCCUUACUUAGUACUUCUUGAGAUAUGUUCCUGAUUUUCUUUCCACGCACUCAGUUUUUAUCAGUGUUUUCAGACCAAACAAUUGUAUAACAGUUCUAGGAGUUCCAUUGACACAGAAAAUUCUAAAAUAUUCAAAUACUCUGUUCAACUAAUAUCCAUAAAGCAUGCCAUGUCUUUCAUUCUUCCCAUGAACAACUUUAUGUAUGUGCUCCAUCAUUAUAGAAUGACAACUGAUCAACCCAAAACUACCGAGACACUCCAUCAAAUACAAAUCAGUAGCUGAAGCAAUAUUCUUUUUUUGUGAUCUAGGUAGAAUUACUCUUUUAACAAAAUCAAAGACUCAUUGGAAAUCACUUUUGAGUGGUCUCCUAUUUACUGUAGCUACAAAUUUUUCUUUAACCUUUGAUGCAUUAGCCAUAAACCUUGUUGAGGGCUACUAUUUUGAGAUAGUCCUCACACCACUGAUAGGAACCACCAGAAUUCUCCUAAGUAGUACAAUAUCAAUAUUCAUCUUCUUCUCUUAAACUACAACAAUCACCUUCAGUCUGUCAGAAAAGUCCAAUAUGGAGUAGAAAUCCUUAAAUACCUCAUCAAAGACGAUGGGAAUGGGUCCUUCCAUAAGAUGGAUCCAUCUUUGAUGUUUAACAAGUUUAACUAAUUUGAUGAUACCUAGUUUUUUUAAUACACUUGAGUCUAAAACCCUCUCAGUCAAUACUUUUUGAUUUCUCAAGAACCUGUUUCUAGCUUCUUUAGGCAUUGGCUUUCUUUUUUUCUUCUAUUUUCUUCUAUUAGAAGCAUUGAUAGAUUCCAUUGUAGUUAUUUUCCUUUUUUGGAACCAGUUUCCUCUGAAAUCUAUUGCUUCACAGUAGGACUUCUAUUCACACAAGCACUUCUUAUUUACAUACUGAUAUCUUAUGUAUUAGGACCAAAAAGACUCCCUUUUGGGUUCUUUGAAAGAAAAAUGAAAUUUUUAGCAACCUAAUCAUCAUUUGUCAUUACACUGGCAAAAGAAUUAUGUAUUUUUUGGGAUAAAUCUUAAUCAAUGAGUUGAGUGAAGGAGUCUGGCUUUGAAGAGAUAGGAUGACUUAACUUGGAUAACUCUAUAAAGAAAAAGGAGAUUUUUAGACAAAACAACUUCAGAAAGGAGAUCAACCUUUUUAUUGACCUCUAAUUUCAAAGAAGAUUCAUAAAAAAGCUACAUGUUUUUAGGAAUUUCAUUCAUUUGAGGUUCAUCUAGGGAGGUGGUUAUGAAGACUGGUUUAGUCCAGUGUUGUUCUAACACGGAUGUGAAGAAUGAGGAAGGGUUGGAGCUUUGAAGAAGGUUUGAGAGAUGAUUCUUAUCUAUACUAAAUUAUAAGGACAUGACUAUUUCAAUAAAGGAAUCUUUGAAAGAAUUGAAAAAUUUUCAGGGGAAUUUUGAGUCCUUUAAAAGGAUUUAGAAUAUACAAUUGUCAAACAUUUGAAGACUUGUCCCCCCUUUUUUCACAAAAAAAAUAUCAUACUUGGGCUAUUUGAGAUUAGGUACUCCUUUAAAAUAAAAUAGAACACAAAUCAUGAAAAGCAAUUAAGGAAACUAAUACAGACAAGGAUGAACUUUUGAAAUAAUAAGAUGAGAUUGAUUUCAAUAUUAGGGUGACUCAUCAUUCGUUUUAGGAUAAGACAAUUUUUUGACACACAGAGAGAAAAUGUGGCUUUUUCUGGUAGAACAAAAAAUGCAAAUUCGCGAUACUAACCUGAGAGAUGAACCAGGUCCCUCUCUUUCUUGAUUGAAUUCUCAAAUUUGAGUCUGUCUCAACUCUUAUCUUCUAAAGUAAUUCCCAUAUGGGUAUGUCUUCAAAAGUAUGGUACUAAUUUAGUAUAAUAAGUACAUAUAAUAAUAAAGAUACCCAUCUCCUAAUCAUAGCUAAUUUUAUGGAGAAAACUGAUCCAUCUAGUAGGUCAGGUUAUUUUGAUCAACCCUUAACCUAUUCUCUGCAAAUUGUUCCUUGUGAAGAGCCAUAGUAAAUAUAUCUUCUAUUUGAUCCUUAGUAUUGCGAAAAAUCAUUCAAAUAGCUCCCUUCUCAAUAUUUCCUUUCAGAAAAUGAUGGCUUACAUCAAUACACUUGGUCUUCUUAUGCUGCACUAGAUUCUUAGCCAUGUUAAGAUCACUUGUAUCAUAACACAUAAGCGGGAUAGUGUCUGAGACAAUCCUAAAAUCCUUUAGUUGUUGUUUGAUCCAUAACAAUUGAGCAUAGAAAGAAGUUAUAACCAUAUACUCAGAUUUAAUAGUAGAUAAAGCAACUAAAUUUUGAUUCUUAGGACCCAGGAGAUUAAGAAAGAACCCAAAAAAUGAGCCAUUCCUGAGGUUCUUUUUCUAUCCACCAAAUAUCCAUCAUAAUCAAAAUUAGCAUAUCCUAUCAGAUCAAAACUGUCUCUAGAUAGAUAGUACAGAAUUUGGUCCCUUAUCCCUAUUAGAUACUUAAGAAUUCUUUUUGCAGCUUUUAAAUAAGACUCCUUUGGGAAAGCCUAAAAUUUGGCACACAUUCCUACACUGAAUACAAUAUCAAGAUUUCUUGCAGUGAGAUAUAAAAGGGAUCCAAUAAUCCCACUAUACAUGGUCUCAUUAACUGAAGGUCUAGGUAAAUUAUUAUCCAUCUUUGAACUAGUUCCAACUAGAUUUCAAUUGAAUAGGAAUCUUUCAUAUUGUAUUUCUUCAGUAGCUCCUUAAUGUGAAUAUCUUGACAAAUCUUUGUCCCUUAAGAAGUUUUCUUAAUCUGUAGGCCUAGUAAGAAACUCAAUUCCCCCAUCAUGCUCAUUUCAAAUUCACUCUUCAUUAGCUUUGCAAACUCUUCACAUAGUGAUUCAGAAGUAGCUCCAAAAGAUUAUGUCAUCAACAUAUAUCUGACCAAUUAGUAAGUUGCUACCUAUAGACUUUACAAAUAGAGUACUGUCAAUUUACCCUCAUUUAAAUCCAUUUUCCAAAAGAAACUUUGAGAGCCUCUCAUACCAAGCCCUUGGUGCUUGCUUCAAACCAUAAAGAUAUUUGUUCUAAUUUUAGAACAUGAUGAGGAAAAUUGGCAUCUUCAAAACCCAAACAUUGCUUGACAUAGACUUCUUCCUUUAAGUUUACAUUUAGAAAAGAACUUUUGACAUCCAUUUGGAAGUGUUUGAACCCUAUGUAGGAAGAAAAUGCAAUAAAAACUAUGAUAGUCUCUAUCUUUGCUACAUUGGAAAAUGUCUCAUCCUAGUGAAUUCCUUCCUCCAGGUUAUAACAUUGAACAACAAGGAUUUCUUUAUUUAUGCUGAUAGAUCCAUGCUCAUCCUAUUUAUUUCUGUACACUCAUUGGUCCCAAUAAUUAUUCUAUCAACAGGUCUGGGGAAUGAAGGCCAGACUUUAGUUUUUUAAAAUUGUUGAAGCUCUUACAGUAUUGUAUUAAUCUUGUCAGUAUCUUUCAAAGCUUCUUUCAUAUUUUUUUGGCUAAAUUUAGGACAAGAAUGUUGAGAAUGCCAUAAAAUUACUAGCUUGAGCUCUUUUUUGACACUAGAUUCCAAAGGUGUUGUCAGAUUCUCAAGUGGGUGAGAAGAUCUGUGUCUCCAAUUUGAGCUUCUAAGAUGAUUUCCACUAGGACUAAGUCCCUAAUGAGUUUGACUAGACCCUUGUUGAUGUUUUUCAACUGGAAAAAGGGUCUGUAACUAAGAUCUUAGAUCACCAUCACCUUCACCAUUCCCAACUGCAUCAUUUAGUCCUUGACUAUUAUCUUCAGCAAUAUCAUUUCUUUGAAUAAGAUUGAGUUCUUCAAUAAUAGAAUCUUCAUCAUCACCUAAAAUCACUAGCUAUCUAGACUCAUAAAGUACCACAUGUAUACUUUCUUCCACAUUGAGUUUGUUUAUUGAAAGCUCUGUAUGUUUUGAUUGUUGACGAGUAGCUCACAAACGUUGCUUCAUUGCAUUUGGAGUCAAACUUUCCUUGUUCACUCGUCCCAUUGUUUAGUAAAAAGCACUUGCACCUAGAAGGUCUAAAGUAGUCAAACUUAGGCCUUUUAUUGAAGACAAGAUCAUAUGGGGUCUUGUUUAGAAGAGAUCCAAUCCAACACCUGUUUGUUACAUAAUAGGCAGUAUUAACAGCUUUAGCCCAAAAGCUCUUUGGAAGCUCAUACUGUCAAUCAAUAUGGUCCUGACAAUCUCUAUAAGGGUUCUGUUCGUUCUUUCAACAACUCUAUUUUUCUAAGGAGUCCUAGGAGCAGAGAAGUUGUGACUGAUUCCAUAUUCAGCAUAGAAUCCUACAACUUUGGAAUUCUCAAAUUCAAUUCCAUCAUCAGAGCUGAAUUUAGAAUAAUUCAUCUUCAUUUGAAUUUUCUUGGCAAUAGUUACUAGAACCUCAUAGGUUUCAUCCUUGAUUCUCAAGAACAUUGUCAAAUAAAUCUGGAGUAUUCAUCCACAAUGACAAACACAUACUUCUCUCUUUCUCUACUUUGGACUUUAACAGGUCCAUAUAUAUCUAUGUGCAGUAACUCAAGAGGUCUAGAUGUACUCAACUGCUUCUUCAACUUAAAGGAAGACCUGGUUUUCUUAACCUUAACACAAGUAUCACAAACCUUACUGUCUAGAAUUUUUUGCUUUGGCAUGCCACCGAUAUGGUCCUUUUAAAUCAACUUUUUUAGCAAAGAAAAACUUACAUGUCCCAAUAUUUUAUGCCAUAGAUCAGCAUCUUCGCUUGGAAUACUUAAGCAAGUUAAUUUCCUAUUCGCUACAGAUACUAAAUCAGCCACAUACAUAUUUUUUAACCUUUUGGCUUUGACAAUAACUCUCCCUAACUUCAAUCUUGACACAGUACAUCCAUCAUAUGAGAACUUCACCUUAUUUCCUUUAUCACAGAUUUAAGAAACACUUAGAAGACUGUACUUGAGGCCAAAAGAGACACCUCCGCCUUAAAGUGUCUUGAUAGAGAGGAAUUAGUUAUUCCUCCCAGUCAUGUUCUUUGAGAAUCCACUAUCCAUAAACCAGUUCUAACUAUAUUCUCUUUCUCCUACCUAAAAUCAAAAUUAUUUAUUACAUUUGGGAACCUACUUGAGUUUGAGUUCCUGAAAGAAAGAUAAAGGUGUGAUCAAAUCUUUCUUCGCCCAUCUAUGCAAAGAGUUCAUCUUCAUAUUUUUCAAGGGUAUGGAACCCUCAUAGUAACAAUUUUCCUACUGGAUGUAUCUAUCAAUGCUCAUUAUAGAUCCAAGCCAAUAUUUACUAUUUUACUUCAAGGGCCUAUUUCUUUCAUAAUGAGUGCAUAAAGGUUUGUGGACUUUGUUUCUAACACCGUGAACAAAUUUCCCUUUAGACCCAAGUGAUUGGGUUUUAUACUGAUAUCCAAGUUCUUUACCAUUAUUAACACCCUAAAUAGUUAAAUUAGAAAGGAUUUUUUAGGAUAUGAUCCAUUUUAGUGAUUUGGUAAGUUUUUCUCUUAUACGUACUAGAUCCCUUUAUAGUUUCUCAUCCUUAUUGAGUGCAUUCAUUAGAUGCUUUUGAGAAUCCCUCAAUUUUCUUCAAGCUCAAUUUUAAUCCUUGAGGCCUUUUUCUUCCCUUUACCAUCAAAAUCAUCAACUUUCAUCAGUUGAUUCAUUAGACUCAGAUUUUUAGAUUCUAAAUAAGUGAACUACUCUGUUUCAAAUAUUUGGAGAGUUAAGGAAAUUAAUUCAAGCUCUUGAUUCUCUACUUUCUCUUCAAACAUAUUUUUCUUUGCUGUCAAUUAACACACUAAAUCAAUCAGUACAUUUGCAAACUUCUUUAUCUUUCUAGAUAGUAGUUACCUAAAUUUUAUGUAAUAUCAGAAAUAGUUACCUCAUUUUCUUCAUCUUCAGUGUUUGCCAUAAGAGAAAACAAAGAGUCAAAGGUUACAUUAUCAUCCUCCAUUACCAUCAACAACUUCAAGAUUUUUAUCCUUCUCAUAUUCACUGGAGGAAUUUCCUCAGAUAUCUAAUCCAUGUUUCACUACAUAAUCACCUGUAACCUUUCUUCAUGACUUUUUAGGGACAUUGUCCUUCUUCUUUCCUUUUUUACCUUCAUACUUUAGAUAUUCUUUAUAAUCCAAUUUUUGCAUUAGGCAAUCUUUGAUGAAAUGCCUAGGUUAUCCACAUUUAUGGAAAACUUCAAUUGUACCUCCUUUCUUGCUGCUACUUCCUCUUCUUUGAAAUGACUACUUUUCUUUAUUGCUCUAAUAAUACUUUUUGCCAACUAGGCAACAUCAGUGUCCUCCUCACUUGAAAUAGACUUUGAAACCUUCAAUGCCAAAGAUUUUUCUCUUUUCCUUCCUUUAUAUCUUACCCCUGUUGUUUCUUGAGUUUAUGAGUUUUAAAAUUACCAAUAAGUUCAUCCAUUGUGAGAGUUUUUAGGUUUCUUGCCUCAGUUAUGAUGGCUAUUUGCUUUCCCAAGAUGUAGGAAGAACUUUCAGAAUUUCUCUCACCAGUUUAUAAAAAGGAAUAACUUCCCCUAUACAGUGCAACUCAUUGGUGAUUGAAGUGAAUCUAGUAUGCAUCUCUUGGAUAGUUUCUCCUUCUUUCAUAGUGAAGGUUUCAUACUGAUUAGUCAGCAUAUUAACUUUUGAAUCCUUCAUAUCUGUGGUUCCUUCAUGAGCAGUCCUCAAUCAAUCCUAGAUUUCCUUGGCAUUUUCACAAGUAGAAAUCUUGUUAUAUUCAUCAGGUCCUACGCCACAGACAAGAAAUUUCUUUGCCUUGCAAUUCUUCUCAACUUUUCUUUUAUCUUCAUCAUCAAACUCGCUCUUGGUUUUGACAACCAGCCUUGUUAUGUCUCCUUGUUUGACUUCUCUAACUGGCACAUGAGGAACAACAAGUUUUACAUCCAUCAGCCCACUGUCCUAAUCCAUAAUGAGGUUAUAAAUCCUAGUUUUUCACCACCCAUAGUACUUCCCUUUAAAACAGGGUAGUCUAGUGGUAGAUUGCCUUUCUUCCAGAUUAGGUUGAGCAGCGAUGACAAAUAAAUCACUAUAGAUAUGAACCUUUUAGAGUUUCCUUUCUCUGAUACCAAUUGUUGAAACUUAGGGGGUGCACUACCUUAUAAGUGACCAAGUCCCUCAUAGUCAGAUACAAUAAAUAAAGCAGUAAGGAAAAAACAUUUUGUAGGAAAGUAAAGAACAAAAUGAUUUAACUUGGAAACCUCCUUGCCAAAGGGAGGAAAAAACAUAGUUUUCCCUCACAAGUACUCAAGAAUCCACUAUAAUCAAACUCAUGAUUAUUGACUCCAUUGAAACUUAACUGUAAUAUCCACUAAUUUGUAACAACUCUAUUACAAACUCUCCUUGUUAACUCUAUCAAGAUCUCUUCUCAAUAUUGAUUAAAUGUAACCAAUACCAACUCAGGUAACUUUACCUAUGUACUCUAUAGACACAAGAAAAGCAUUACUCUUCUAAGAUGAGUAAUUUGACUACAGACCAAGACUUGACUAAAGAGCAAUUAUUCUCUCAAUACUCAAAAACUUAGAACUUGAGCAUUAUUGAGUUUUCACCAUUUUUCUUCUUGAAUAACUGAAUUGCAAAAACUAUUGAAUUAAGAAUUAUUCCUUUUUAUUUAUAGUGGGAUAAUUAUUAGGGUAAUAUUUUAAUCAGGCCAAGUAUCCUAAUUGGUACACAUCUCACCGGUGCAGUUUGUUACACUAAUAGACAAAACUGCACAGACAUAUGAUAGUUGUAUGUUUUCAUGAAGACCUAGGGACCUGGUCCCUUGUUGUCAGCUGAUCACUAUCAAAAUAAGAUAUAUCACUUAUUGAUAUGAUAUAGCUUUCAUACAUGACAAUUCUUCUAUACAUGAUAUGGCUUAUAGCUAUGAGAUGACUUAUAGAUAUGAUAUGGCUAAUAGAUGUGAUAUGGCCUAUAUACAUGAUAUUGCUUACGUGCAUAAUAUGGAUUGUAGAUAUGAAUGAUAGCUCAUAGAUAUGAUGUGACAUAUAUCUGAUUUAUUGCUCAUAGAUAUAAUUGGUGGCUUAUAGACACAGUCAUUAAAGUAACUUACGACUAUGACUAUUGACAUAACUUAUGGGCUUGGUUAUUAGCAUAACUUAAUAGAUGUUGUAUUGGUAUAGUCUAUUGAAUUAUUUUAUCUAUAUGGCUUGGUGAUAUGGCAUGUUGACACGAUUUAUAAAUUUGGGUACCGUUUCGAGUCCAGUAGUUUAUAAUGAUGUUUGUAAUAUGAGUUCUGUUUCAAGUCCGAUGAAUAGUUAGAUUGAUGAUGAUUCUAUUGAGUGUCAAAUUAAUUCCAACAAAUGGUGAUAUUUAUGAUGAUGCUAUUGAGUGUCGAUUUAAGUCCAACAAAUGGUGAUAUUGAUGAUAAUGCUAUUGAGUUUAAGUCUGGUAUUUUGAAUUGUGUAUGAAAUAAUACUAUUCGUAUAGACUCAUUGCUAUGGCAUGAUAAUUUGGUAAUUUUUGGCAAUUUGGUUGCUUAGUUUAUUUAAUUAUACUUUCCAGGAUUAUGGGUGCCUACGUUGGGUUCUUUGCAUUUCUGAACUUGUUGGAUUAUAGGGGUUAAUCUUGUAGCUUUAAUGGUAUUUUUUUUAUGUUUUUAUUUUGUAUGCAUUCAUUUAUUUAUUUACAGUGGCGUCAUAGCGUAUUUCUAGGUUUGCCCCUUUUUAUCUCGACGUAGCUUAUUCUAUCUCUUAUCUUAUCAUAUUUAUAUCAUGACUUAGCUCUGUCGGCCGAUGAUACCUACUGAGUACCCAUGAUUUUGGUACUCAUACUACACUUCUGUACCUUUUUUAUGCAAAUUUGAGUACUAUUUAUUGUCUUUGAUACGCAAUUCGUGCAGGGCUGAUUUUAGAGAUUGGGUGAGCUCUUUGAGUUAGAGUUAUCCUUUUUCCUUCUAUUUAUCUAUGUCUAGCCUUUUAUAUUUGAGAUGGAUUGUAUUUGGCUAUUCAAUGCUAAUAGAUUAUUAUAAUAGCUCUUGUAUCGACAUUAUUGAGUCUUGAGAUGCUUGUUAGUUUUCUAUCUAUCUAUUAGAUAUUUAUAACUAUAUUACUGCUUUUGAAGCCUUUAACUGUGAAAUUCCAGCUUUUAGUCCAUUUUUCACCAAGUUAGCCCAUUGUAAUUAGUUCUGGUCUAAGGUUUGACUUACCUACAAGCGGGAUAGAGUAGGUGCCUUUAUGACUCAUUAAUUGAAUUGCGACAUCUAACUUGACUGACUAUAAGACACUGAUUCAUAUUGAGAGUUUAGAACUCAACUAAAGCAUUCUUGACAUGAUCGUACAUAUAUAAAUAUAAAGUGAUAGAUAAUGCGAUAAAAUCUCCAAGAGUUAAUAAGGAGGGAAUAUGAGUUUCCUUGGACUCUCCUUAUCAUAAUUUCUAAUAACAAUUGAGGGAAAGAAUUUUGGGCAUGACCUGAGUAUGGAAUUUGAAUAAAGAAUCGCAACAAAGAUUGACUAGUCAAAUCCAUUGAUAUUAGUUUAUAUGGUAGAGACGGUAUAAACUUAAACAUGAGACAUCCUCUAGACAAAACUAUAUCAUGGAAUAUAGGCAUAUAGAAUGGAAGAAAAAAUAGGGUUACUAUGCCUUAGUUGAUGAAACUACUAACUUUCAAGCAUAAAAACACUUCUCAACUAUACUUUUCCUUUUAAAUACUACACUUCAUUUGAUACAUCUUAUAAUCCUCACAUGGGUACAUGUGACUUCCCCUACCAAAGUCUAAGUCAAACUACAUACUCUCAUCAUGCUCAACCCUAACUCGAAAUCAUAAUGUACUACACAUGGCACAGUAAUACUAGUAUAAACUACAAGAUAGAAUAUCAUAUGUCUUUUUAGGGGCCUAAUCUCAAGGAAAAUACUCCUUACCACUUAAACAUUAACCCUAGCUCUAAUCAGGAAUUCACUAGUGCGUAAUGCACUCAUCAACUUGUAUAAUAAUAUGACAUUUAAGCCUAUUGCUAUAACCACAUUUGAACUUCUAGGAAACCAACCCAUCUAGGAAUUUUUUUCCAUAUUCUAUAAUGCCUCUAUUAAUAACAAUUUCAUGAAUUAUCACCAAAAAUGCACACCAAAAAUUAUCAACUAACUAAUACAUAUACCAAAGCUUUACCUCAUCCUUCUUUCACAUUACAACCUUGGAUAAAACAAUCAUACAAUAAUUUUCCCUAAUAAGGGACAUCUACCCUCUUCCAUCAAAACCAGUGUUCAUUCAUUUUCAUCACCACUAUCUUAACAUAAAAAAGGUCACAGUUUGAUAAAACAUGAGGACCUAGAGCAAGAAAAAAUACUACACAUGACUUUGACACUUAACUAAGGUCUGAGGAAUAUAGUAUUACAGGAAUGGAUUUGUUAAAGACAUCUCAACUGAGGGCACACAAGACAUAAAGUUAAUUUCACUAUUCAUUAAGGUUUUUCAUGAGUUCAGAGGCAUAAGCACAUAAUUUUAUAUCUAUAAAAGUUAGUUAACAUAAGACUGGAAUUCAUAGAUCCAUGGGGGAUGACUAGGAUCACAAAGUGAAGCUAUUACUUCUUUCUUUUGCUAGGAGCUGAGAAUGAACAUGAAUAUGUAUGAAGUGUAUAAAAAUUAGUCAUGGGUGCGUCUUUAAUAUGCAAGACAUGGGUAGAAUUUCAUAAUGACUGAAAUCAAGGAAAUACGUUAGAUCAAGAAAGGAUCACUCUCUCAUCAUAACUCUUGUAUGUGCUAGAGCAAGAACGGAUCACUCUUUCAUCAUAACUCUUAUUGAUAUGCAUCAUAGUCUAAUUCAUAAAACUUGAUUUUAUUCUUCACCCUGUCAUCUCCCCCCUAGAUUAAAACAAAAUUUUAAGCCUAUGGGCCUAUUUCCGUAUACUCAAGAUUGAGCCAUAAUUCCUUUACUCUAACAGUUGACAAAAAAAUGCUAAAUUCACCGGGAUAAACUACAUUUGGAAAAUACUAACUUCAUCCUUGAACACUCAAUUCAUAUAUACAACCCUUAAAUUUCUCUAACUGCAAUAAUCAUCAUCAUGUACUUACACUCAUCCCAAAAAACAUACUUGCCUCACUUAAUACAUAAUUUGACCUUUUAUUCUUAGUUUACUAAAAUCACACUUCUAAGAUCAUAUUUUUUCCAAAGUCAUGAGAAUUAAAACUAUAAUAAAAGGCAUACAUCAUCUAUCUAUAACUCAUUAAUUUAGCUAUUAAGAACACCAUAAACUAUAUAAUUAGCCUUAUUCACAGUUAUCAACUCAAGGGUAAUAUCUAAGCACACACGACACCUAAUAAACUUAGAAAAUCAUGAAACCACAUAUUACCUUGAGUAUACCUCUAUAUCAAACCUACAUUAUCAUAAUUAAUUAUGAAUGAACGAAUAUAAAUUCUUGCAUACAUUAUAUGAAGCGUACAGGCUCACUUCCACAUUACUAGCAAAACUAUCACAAACAAUCAUUAUUUCUACCUUGAUGAUUAUCCACUGUUAAAACUUAGUGUCUAUUACUGCCAUAAUUAACAAAAUAAAUCCACAUACUAUUCUUACUUGGCAGCUUUAAAAUAAAACAUCAAGAACUACUAGUCCACUAGGACCUCAUAAUUAUAAUAACUGAUCCUAAUCUUAUGGUAUAUCUAAUUGCAGUCCAUUAAUACAUCCUUAUUUCACACAUCACUGCUAUUUAUCUAUCCAUACACCUAAAUUAUAUUGAUAUCUCUGUAUGCACCAACCAAUUUCCUUUUCACAAUCACAAUGGGAAGGCCAUAUUUAUAAUCCUUAACAACCUAAUACUUUCAUUAAUGACCUAUGCUUUUCUACCAUAAUGAAAUGCCAUAAAGAACUCUUUUUUCUAAUUAAAGCAUACCCCUAGUAACCUUAACUAAUAAAUCCUUAUCAAUCUUCCAUUAGGAAAUCAACACCACACUCGCUAACCCUUAGUAAUAUCCAAAGACAUAUCACCUCAAUCCUAUCUUAAUAGAAUACAUAGUUCCAUCAAUAUACUCUUAACCAAUUGAUAUCCCCACUUUUCUUGUCACUACACUCCUAAAUCCAAACUUUAAAAUUUGAGGUUGUUCUACUAUUUAUGGAUUAUAACACCCUGAGCUACACUAUCCCUCGAAUAAAAACUCUAUUUAAUAAUCUAGGUACAUACUCUUUUCUAUCAUAGGUUUUAUCUAUAGUGAAGGGUUAAAGAGGAAUAUAAAUACAUAUCAUAUUAUAUAUUAACCAUACAACUCAAAAGCAUGAGGACAGAAUAUUUCAAAUUAAAGGAAAUAAAAUAUAUUAAUGGGCUCUUCUCAAGCCCUUUAUACAAUUUCUAAAAAUUUUUAUUGUUAACAUGAGAGCGUCAGAUUAGGAGGAAUUGAAAUGUACUGCUUACACUAACUAAAUGAUAAGUCAUAUUUGGAGGAUUUUUGGGUAACACAUUAAUAGACGUGAGUUUCUAAGAGGACAACCUUACUACAUGAUCUGGAGUAUAAAAGAAGGGAAACAUUUUCUAAGUGCCCUGUAGACUCUAAAAAAAAGUAUGGACGUGUCUGUAUUAUUUUGUAAGACUCUACUAGACAUGUUUCCAAACACACCCUAGGACACUUGAACUUUAUGCUCUGAUACCAUGCUUGUAAAGCCUCGAGACUAUCCCCUAGAUGUCACACGGCGCUUAGAGCCAUAAGUGAUCCUAAGCUUACCCAUGGUACUGGCAUAAUUCAUAAGCAACUAAAUAAUAACUCAUGAAAUGGAAGUAUUAAGAGGAAGAAAUUUCAUUAUUUUAACUUGUUCAAUACAAUACUAUUUAAAGCAUUUCCAUCACUAUAUUAUACAAAGGAAAAGUGAAAUUUAAUACAUCAACUUUGACUGACUGUCAAUGAAGCCUCUUAGCCUCUGCUAAUUCUGACUAGAGGUAGCCGAGACAUUACUACUAGCUAUCCCUAAUAAAUAUAAUUGAAUAAAUAAAAUAAUAUUUCUAUAAUUUAACUUGUUUCCUUAAAUAAAGAGAACUCAUCACCUGCUAAUUGGAAGCUACAAACGGCUUGAUCAUGAUAUUGUGAGUUAAAAUUGAUACUUACAUUAUGAAAUAAUGUAUCCAUGCAAACUUUUAUAUGGUUAGUAAUUAUGGAAUGUACUGAGUAUGUGGGGUUGCAUGUACGAUACUGGCUGUAUUUAUGCAUUCUAAUGUCACUAUUCUAGUAUUUUUAGCCUUGUUUUGAGGAUGAUUCUAUGUUAUAUGGAUUGAUUAUGAUAUAAAUGUGUAUCAAAGUGUUAAAGAAUGUGUUUAUAAGUUUUCAAGUGAAUUACAAGUAAAUUGAUACUUCAAAGAUUCAAAACAUUGAAUGGAAGAUCAUGGAAAUUUGCCUAGUCUUUCUAGCUUGAGCUAGUAGCUUGUCUAGUCUAUCUUGUUGGAUUCUAUUGGGUUCUAUAUGUUCCAAAUAGUUUUAAAUGUGUUUUUAUAUGUGUAACAGAGUUUUAGGAGUGUAUUAAAUCCAAAUAAGUCAAGGAAAGAGUCAAAACAUUGAAUGGAAGAUCAUGAAACUUUGCCUAGUCUAAGCUCUUGUUUUUUAUUCAGCGUUAUGGAUGUAGUGUUGUUUGUACCUCUAAUUCGUGUGGUGUGUUAUUGUAGGAUCAUUUAUAAGAUUCAUAUUAUGAUAUAUGGAUGAUAUAUAGGCUGUUAAAUCAUUUUAAAGACACCAUAAGACAAGGAAUGGAAGGAGAAAAGACCAAUACUUAACCAAAAUUUAGAGGACAACUUCCAGUAGCACUAUGUGAUUAGCAUGCAUUACAUGCUCUAUUCCUAUGGAAUAGAGGGUGUUUCACGUGAUCCAUUCCAUAUUAAUGGAGUGUUAUACACAUGCUCCGCUCCACCCCUGGGUGUUUCAAGCUAAAUUGACUACUACACAGAUUUGCCUUACUUCUAUGCUAUAAAGAUUUAUUGUAUCACGUUUUUACGUAUCUUUUGACAUAUUUUGGAGAUCAAGGGGUUACUAAAAUUUCAUUAUUAUAUUUAAUUAAUAUUAUUUAUUUCAUACAUGAUUUUAAUCGUUAAUUACAACCUUGUGAUUAUUAUUAUGACUAUGUGUGGCUAAACGCCCUUUUUUCGGGGUUGAAGCCAAGAACAUGAGUAUUAUUGCUAUGGAUUAAGUUUGUUUUCUUUGAUUAUCACAAUUGGUUGUUUGUUUAUUCUUUUUUUAAUUAUAUUUAGGAUUGAUCACCCUUAGAAUACAUAUAUUUUCAACCUUAUGAACUCGAGAGAAGGAAUGGGGAGAUAGAACAUAGGAAUAAGCAGAGUAUGGUUUGUAUUUCUUUAUGAAAUCAAGAAUUCAAAUUAGUAUCUAAGAUAGGGAUGUACUUAGAUACCGUACUUGAUUUACACGUAGGAUGAUAUUUGUAAAGAAUUUAAGUAAACUAUUACAUUCCCGCUCAAUGAUGUAGAUAUAAGGUUCAACUUAGAUAAAGGAUUAGAGGUUGGGAAACCAUAAUCAUGCAAUUAACCCUACAAAUCAACAACCAAGAUAAGCAAGUUAACGAAUGAAAUCCAAUAGCAUAAUAUGAUUGUUCAGAGUGCUUUAACCCUGGGUUUUCUCCUACUAAGACCUUUCAUUUACACUUUAUUUAUUUUGCUUGCAAUUUACACACUCCAAACUCUAUUUUGGUUACUUUUGCAUCAAUUAAAUAUGAAUUGUGAACUGAAAUCAAAUCAUUGCCGAAUUAAGUCUCUGUGAGAACGAUAUUUGACUUUUUUGAAGGCCACUAUAUUACUUGGUAGACCACGUACACCUGCAUGUGCACUUGAGCACUGUCAAGUUUUUGGCACCGUUGCUGGGGACUUGUAUUUUGGAAAUUGUUUAUUUUAGUUUUACUUUUAGGUUUAUUUAGUGUUUUUAUGCUCGGUCUUGGUUUUGUUAUUGUAGGAAAUAGGUUUUUAGGUUGAUAAGCUGGCAAGGGAUCAGGAUUGGUAGAACUAAGUUCUAAACCUGAGCAACACUUUCACAAACGUAGGAGAGAAGCAAUCAUUCUCCCCAGAAUUCCUCAAAUCCAAGAAGUACAAGAGUAUACUAUUCCAAUAGAUGAACAACAACAGCCAGAAGGAUAGUUAGUGAAGUAUCAGUCCCACUUCCGACAAACUUGACUUCCCCAAUUCAAAGAUCGAUGGCUGGGGAAAAUUUUAAGUUAAAACACAAUAUGGUGUAGCUUUUUAUUAGUAGUGGACAAUUUGUGGGGCUUUCGCACGAGGAUCACAAGUCCACUUGCAGACCUUUAUUGAGCUUACUGAUACAUUCACUCCGACUGGGGUGAGUCCAUAUUUUGUAAGGCUGACACUAUUUCCUCAUUCACUUUUGGAGGAAGCAAAAGGUGGUUGAAGGAGGAGCCGUCCAAUUCAAUUACAUCAUGGGAUAACUUAGCCAGAAAGUUCCUCAUUAGAUUCUUUCGAUCAGGUAAGACUAUGAGACUUUGCUAUGAGAUAGUAAGCUUCAAACAGAAGUCAGAUGAAAACCUCUAUUAUGCUUAGUGAUGCUUUAACGCUCUUCUUCAGGGUUUUCCACACCACCAACAGUCCAAUGAGGUACUUGAUCAUACUUUUGUUGAAGCUCUUGAUCAUAACACGAAGAUUUUUCUAGAUUCAACCAUAAGUGUUCAAGCCCUGGAAUUGACUUAUGAUGAUCUAUACAUUUUACUAAACAGCAUAGCACAACCAAAUCCAGAGUGGCAUUUAGAUUCUAGAAGUGCCAUGAAAAGAAUUACGUGUGUAUUAGAGGUGGAUCAAUUUACAUCCAUAUCAGCAUGGGAUUUUUCCAUACAAAAUUGAUCAAUACAUCAUUCAAUAGCAUGAAGUUGGGAGCAGCACAACCUACCACCACAGUCAAUGUCAUCCAAUAAGUUGUAGGUUGGUGUGAGGUAUACAGAAAUAGUGGUUAUGCUACGGCCAUGUGUUCUUCAAAUUCAAAAUUUGUGAUGUAUGUAGGACAUGCUUAAUGUAUAAAUUAUGGAAAUGCCUACAACAUGAAGUUGCAGAUUCAGCUACCAAAUCAGUCAUGGAAUUCCCCACAUCCACAGGCCAAACUAAUUCAGCCAACUAGCAACAUAGAGGGGAUGAUAAAAAAGCUCUUAAAUAAUUAGGUACAGUUUGCUGCAGACUUAAAAAAUUUACAAGUGGCCACAAGAAGUUUAGAUUUGUACGUAGGGAAAAAUUAGCAAGUAUUAAAUACUAGACCACAAGGUGGGUUGCCAGCAGAUAUAGAAAAUCCAAAGAAGGUUAUGCCAAUCACCUUGAGAAAUGGUAAAGAGCUUUAAUAAGAACCUCCUAAGGAAAAAAAGAAGGUAGAUACUGAUAUGGUGACCCAAUAGGUAAAUAAAAGAGUUACUAAAUAUUCAAGGAAGUCUAGGUACUUGUAUGAAAAAGUUGUUGCAGAAGAAGUGAGGAAGAUGCCGCCACUGCCCUUUUCUCAGAGUCCAAUAUAAACGGAGGAGGAUAUAAUAUUCAAAAAAUUCUUUGACACAUUCAGAGAGCUUCAUAUUAAUUUACCUAUUUUAGAUUUUUUGCAGAGUAUACCUAAGUAUGCAAAGUACUUGAGAGAUGUGGUGGCUAAAAAGGUGAAACUGUAGGAUGUGGGAGCUAUAACACUCAUUGAAGAGUGUAGAGUUGUGAUGAUAUAUAAAAUCCCUAAGAAAUUGAGAGAUCAGUGGAGGUUUUGUAUCCUUAUUUAAAUUGGGAGCAAGGUAGUCCAUGCACUAAGUGACUUAGGGGAAAGCAUAAAUUUAAUGCCCUUCUCGCUAUUUAAUACAUUAGGCUUGGGAAAGCCAAAACCAACUACCAUGGUGUUGCAGGUGGUAGACGCAUUAUUUACAUAUUCAGAUAGGAUAAUUAAGGAUGUCCUUAUAAAGGUUAGUAAAUUCAUUAUACCUGCUGACUUUAUUAUUCUUGAUUUUGAGGCAGAUGAAUAGGUACCAAUCGUUUUGGGGCAUCCAUUCUUAGCAACUGGAAGGGCCUUGAUUGAUGUUAAAGAAGGCAUGCUCAAGAUGAGGGUAGAUUAUGAAGAGGUGGUACUUUAUGUUUACAAAGUACCCAAUGUAACAUCCCAAGUUAAAGAUUUGUGUGUGAAUAAUGUUAUUGAAAGGGACAAGUGUGCGGUGAUUAAUCAACCAAAGACCUCUUUGGAUUACUUGAUUGUGCGGUCUGAGAUGAAGCUACUAUUUCUAAACAUAAUGAAGGUUGAUGUUAAGAGAAAUGAUGACCUUGAUAUUGCAAACUCAAGAGGUCAGAAACAAAUGGAAAAAUGGCUCUCGAAAGGGAGUAAAAGGGUGAAGGAAUAUGGUUGAUUUGAUAUGGGUCGUGCCGUGACACUAAAUCAGGCGCUGCUUGGGAGGCAACCCAAGUUAAUUAGGUAUAUUUUUUUUUCAAUUUUAUUUAGUUUUUAUUUCACAUAGUUUUUGUUUUUUGUUGAGUCACAGGUUAAUGGGAAGUUUGUGUACAAUAAACUUGAGCUAAGAAGCAUGACAAAGAUUGAGUGUGGGGUUCCAUGGACAUCCUUAAUGUGUAAAGAUGCUAAUAGCUAAGCCUAGAGGCGUCAGGGAGUAUUUUUAUCUCUUACUUUAAAUUCACUUUAGGGACAAAGUAGAUUUUUAAGUUUGGGGACAGAAAAUUACCAAAGUUUGGCUCAAUUUAAAAAAAAUUAUGCAUGAUAUUCUUGAUGGUACUAUUUUUUAUUAUAGGGUGCAAGUAUUUUGUUUGGCAAAAGCAUGUGGAAUAAGUGAAUUACUACUUUUGAGACUCUUAGGCUCAUUUUUGUGACUCUUGUACUAUUUGGCUUAAAGUUUGAAUUUGUGCUAUUGUUUGGUUAAGAGUAUAUAACGAUCCUAUUUAGUAGAACAUGUGCCAUGUGAGUGUGAUAUUUUUGAAUAUUCUUUGUUGCAUGUGAUUCCUAGAACUUGCUCGGUGUGUGUGUGUGUGAAACAAAAUAAAGAAUGUGGGUUUAGGAGAUGAUAUAGGCAUUUCAUUGAUAGCCUUGUUUAUACCUUCUAUUUGUCCUACACUCUGUGAAUUAUCCUAGUUAACCCCCAUUGAACCUUUAUCUUUUUCUUUGGAAAUCUCAUACGUAGCCUAAUCCCUUCUUUGAUAGACCAUAAUUUGAUCUAAAAAGCUCCUAAGUGAUUUAAUGAAAAAUUGAAUUAGUAAGGAGUUCAAGAAUUUGAAGAAAAAAAAGGGGAAAUUGAUGCCCCAAGGUAAUAGUUAUUGGUGUUUAUAUGUGAUGUGUGGUGGAUGAAUGUAAUAUAAUUUUUGCUAAAAAUAUUGCCAUGAUUGUGAAAAAGAUUAAAAAAAUAAUUUUUGUGGUAGUAAACUAUGCGUCCACAAGUGUUUAUGAGAAUUAUUAAAAGAGAUGGGACAAAAACAAAAGAUAUGGGUAGAAAAAAUGGUGUAAUUUGGUUGUUGGAUAUUGGUUUAAAUGCAUAACAUAGUGUAUUAAAGCGCUUAUAGAGGUUAGUCACUAUUCCCAAAUAGUUCCUACCCGUUCCUUAGCCUACAUUAAAACCCAAAAAAGUACUAAUUGAUCCUAAGCUUUACGUUCUGUUAUUAGUGGAGCAUAACACUAAGGUCAAUCCUAUGGUUCAUUGUGUGUAACUUGUGAAUUCUUUCUGAGAUUCAGCAUAAUUUGAUUCUUAUACCCAUCAUAUUAUAAAGUGCUUAAUUGUGUAUGAUUAUGGGUAACUCUCUUGUUGUGAGGGGCACAUGUUUAGUAAAUGUGGGUGAUUCGUAUGAUGUACUUUAUUGAGAAAUAUGCAUAAGUUUGCCACUAGGUGAGUCAAUUAUUGAGGCUAGGAUGUUUUGGAGUAGUGUUCAUGAGAUUUUAAUCGUGUAAAUAUCAUGCUUAGUGUAGUAACUUGUAUUCUGUGUAGUCAUUGUAGUGCUAGCUUAAGUGUCUUGCAUUUAGUAGAAGUGUAGAGUCUCCUUAGUUGAUGAUGAUUAUAGUUAAUAGUUGUUCGAGGACGAACAAGGCUUUAAGUGUGGAGUGGUAAUGUUGGGUGUAUUUAUGCAUUCUAGUGUCACAAUUAUAGUCUUUUUAGCCUUGUUUUGAGAAUUAUUCUAUGCUACAUGGGUUGAUUAUGAGAUAUAUGUGUAUCAAAGUGUUAAAUCAUGUGUUUAUAAUGUUCCAAGUGAAUUCCAAGUAAGUUGGUACUUCAAAGAGUCAAAACAUUGAAUGGAAGAUCAUGGAAAUUUGCCUAGUCUUUCUAGCUUGAGCUAGUAGCUUGUCUAGUCUAUCUUGUUGAAUUCUACUGGGUUCUAUGUGAACCAAAUGGUUUUAAAUGUGUUAUUGUAUGUGUACCAAAAUGUUAGGAGUGUAUACAGUCCAAAUGAGUCAAGGAAAGAGUCAAAACAUUGAAAGGAAGAUCAUGGAAUUUUGCCUAGUCUAAUCUCUUAUUUUUUAUUCAUUGUUAUGGAUGUAGUGUAGUUUGUACCCCUAAAUCAUGUGGUGUGUUCUUGUAGUAUCAUUUAUGAGAUUAAUAUGAUGAUAUAUGUAUGAUAUAGAUGCUUUAAAAUCAUUGAAAAGACACCUCAAGACAAGAGAUGGAAGGAGAAAGGACCAACACUUAACCAAAAUUCGGAGGACAACUUCCAGUAGCACCAUGCGAUUAACAUGCGUCGCAUGAUCUAUUCCAAUGGAAUAUAGGGUGUGUUUAAUUCUCCCUUCCAUAGGAAUUGAGGGUGAUAUGUAUGAUCCACUCUACCCCUGGGCAUUUAAAGCUAAAUCAACUCCUACACAGACUUGGCUUACUUCUAUGCUAUAAAUACAUGUUAUAUCAUGUUUUUACAUAUCUUUUCACAUAUUUUGGAGAUCAAGGGGAUGAUACAACUUCAUUAUUAGGUUUUUAUUAAUUUUAUUUAGUUCAUACAUGUUUUUAGUCAUUAACUACAGCCUUGAGAUUACAAUUAUGACUAUGCGCCGCUAAACGCCCUUUUUCCAGGGUUGAAGCCAAGAACAUGAGUAUUAUUGCUAUGGAUUAAUUUUGUUUUCUUUACUUAUCACUAUUGGUUGUUUGUUUAUUCUUGUUUUGAUUAUAUUGAGGAUUUAUCACCCUUAGAAUACAUAUAUUGUCAAUCUUGUGAACUCGGGAGAGGGAAUAGGGAGAUAGGACAUAAUAAUAAGCAGAGUAUGGUUCGUAUUUCUUUAUGAAAUAAGGAAUUCAAAUUAGUAUCUAGGACAGGGAUGUACUUAGAUACCAUACUUGAUUUACACAUAGGAUGAUAUUUGUAAAGAAUUUAAGUAAACUAUUACUUCCACGCUCAACUAUGUAGUUGUAAUGCUCAACUUAGCUAAAGGAUUAGAGGUUGGGGAGCCAUAAUCAUACAAUUAACCCUACAAAUCAACAACCAAGAUUAGCAAGUUAACGAAUGAAAUCCAAUAGAAUAAUAUGAUUUUUUAAAGUGCUUCAACCCUGGGUUUUCACCUACUGAUUGCCUCAAGACCUUUCAUGUCAUGACCUGAACCGGUCCCUUUCCCUAACGGGCAUCCCGAACCAUAAAGGCCCAAGAGCCCUUCUAACUUACAAUCACCUACACCAUUUAUUUACAAAGAGAAAAUAUGGAAAUACAUAACAAAAUGGAAUCAUGGUCAACUAUGAUUUCAAACUACUCAAUACUUAAAUCAGUUCAUAAUGAUCAACAACAUCUAACACUAGUCUGCGAAAUCUCUACUAACUGAAAAUUACCUGUGUCUGGAGACUGGGACAAGGGCUCCAGUCGGACCAUAAAUAAAAAUAAAAUAAAAAUGACUUAUACAUUAGGACUUCAGGAAUCAGCGAGGCUCACAAACUUCCAAUCUCAAACCAAUCAAUCUAUGGCUUAGAGGAACCCCAGGAUUUUGUCUCAGAUCCUAAAAUAUAGGGAGGGUUUAAUACAUAUGUAUUGGUACAUAGAACAAUCCAAAAACACAAUAUGUAUUUUUAUAAAAACAUAGGUGCGAGCAUUUCAUAAAUCAUAUAUCAUCUUGAAUCAGGUUAAAACAUAUGGGCAUAAUCAAAAUCUUUCAAAACUCAUUUUGCAAAUCAUAUCUCUACUCUUUAUCUUACUUCUGAGCUAGAUGGUUUACCCUACAAAUCUACGAUUCCACGGGCUAUAUGAAAUCCUCCCUUGACUCGGCGGCUAAGCCCCCAACCCAAGUUUCCCACAAGGGUUGGAGUAUCUGCUUAUCUACUACACCACAGGGCCAUCGCCAACGUAUAAUUUCUCUUUCGGUAUCAAAAACCCGUGUCGGUAAAUCAUGGUUUUGGGCAAUGAGUCAUUUGACUCGUGCCUUCUUCAGGUAACCAUAUAACUCUCUUAAGCCCAGUUUUAGAUUCUUUAGACCAUAUCUUCUUUGAAAAGUUAUUUUUUUCUCAAUAUUUUUGGGCACAUCAAAAUAAGGUAUCGUCAUACCCAGACUUGCAAGUCAUGUCACCACAUAUCUACUGCUCUUUUUAAUUUCAAAAGGUGUUUAUUGACCAUCCAAAAGAUCUACCAUUUAAACAAAAGUUCAUAUUUCAAAAUAGUUGAAAAUCACGUGCUUCCCUCUUCAACACUUUAGCUAUGGUGGUCACCUUUCUUAUCAAGUUUUAAGACAUUCUCAUUGGAAAACAUGACCAUGUACAAAACAAGUAAAAAUAACCUCUUAUUUUCUCAUAAAACAGUACAAUUGUACAUAUCAUUUCGUCAACAGACCCCAGCCUAUAGUAUUUCGCAAAAUCAAUUUACAACAUCUAAAACUCGAGGGAUUUUCAUAUUAAAAAGGGGAAUUUCAGAUCUCAUGCUCUAAUUAAAUUUCACAAUUCUAAUAUCACAUGAUCACACGAAAUUAAUUCAAGUUUUAAACACAAAUUUACAAUUUCUAUUAUACAUCAUCAAAUCAUAAGAUUUCCAAUACAUAUUCAUCAAGAUCUUGAAACCAAUUUCGUAUGUAUACAUAUAUACUUGUUAAAUCAAGUUUAAAAACUAUAAAUCGAUGCCCGUGACGUUUAGGAUAGUCCCAUGUACCUUAAUUGAUGAAGAAUUUGCAAAAAGAUCAAACCUUUAAACUUGGAAGAGCAAACCCUAGUUGUUUUUCUCCUCUUGUGUUUCAAAAAAAUGAACGAGGGAUUUAAGAGAGUUAAAACGUUAAUAAUGACCCUAAUUUCGUCUAUAGAUGUUUAGGGAUGGUUUUGGAAUGUAAAAAGACUUGUUUACCCUUGAAAUAACUCAAAACGGAGAUCCUACACCAUAAAACAUACGGUUUGUGGCUCAAACCCCAUGGCAAACCUUAAGGUUUGCGUCGCACAAUCUAUGGCAAACAUUAAAGUUUUCGGCGCCUAAGCCAUCGCCAAGCCUAGACAAUGUCUCAGUCAAACACUCAUAACUUUUGACUCCAGACCCAAAUUAAUGAACGGUUAGAGGCACUGGAAAGAAGAAUCAAAGACCUAUCAUUUAAUAUAUAGUAAGCCCUAUAACUUUUCAUAUUGUAGGAGUAAUAGUCGAGUAAGUUGACCCAAGUUGAAACGUCCACUAAAACUUGAUCGAUAGAAAAGUUUUCAAUUAGUCUUUGAGUUAGGGGAUUUUUAUGACCUCAAUUCAUAUUCAAAGGUAUUCACACACUAUAAAAUUGAUCACCACACAUAUAUUAUCAAGGAAUCGUUUGAUUUGGGUCUAUACACGUAGGAACAAUGGUCUAAAUUCUAUCCCAAAGGUGCGGGGUGUUACAUUAUCUCUCCGUUGGUAUCAUUUAUCCCCGAAUGAUGGAUAGGGACUUGUUGAAGCUCUACAAGUAAAGAAUUAGGAACGUAACCUCACAUUGAACAUUUUUCCUCAACAAAAUAUGCAAAGAAAUCUUACAAGAUUCAUGAUAACCCCUAGUGAAACGUAUAAGCACAAAACAUAAGGUAAUGAGACGUUACGUAGGGAUGAUCUUGCACAUGAGUUCUAUGAGUUAUAAUCAUCACAACAUAAGACAUGAGUUAAUUUGGUAAACAUAGGCCUGAUUUAGAUCGGUACUAAUCAAGAAAUAAGGUUAUGAGGAAAUACGGAUAGAAUAAUUCUCUUUCUCACAAGAUACAACGAAUAGACUUAAACUUAGAGACAUUACUCGCCUAUACCCCAAAUAGUAAAUAACAUAUUUUGUAAUCUCCAAUUUACAAUUCUCCAAUCACACAUCUAACCAUAAGAUUUUGAGUCCCAUUAUAUAGUGUUUUUAUGUUGAAGCCUAAUUUGAAAUAAAAGGUGCUAACUUAAGCUACAGGGCCUUAUACGCUACAUCCCAUUAAGAAAAUUAUUUCACCUUAUCACUUCCAUCAAACACACUUGAAUUUUUUUAAAUCAAGGAGAACUAACCUCAUAACACAUUUAUUUACGUGUUCAUCAAUCACAACAUUCAAGCAUAUUAUUACUACCCCCAUUUCAAGGAUCUUCCCUCUAAAUCCAGCAAAAUCAAUCACUCUCAUAUAGACUUUUGCAAUAUAUCUCCUCCCUAACUAUUUCAUAUAGAAAAAUUGCAUCUCUUUCUUCCAUCUUCACCUAUAAACAUAACUCAAGAAAUCAUAUCCAAAAAUUUUCACCUUCAAGAACAUUUACUCCCCUACCUAAAACAUCACCACGCUUCCACAACCACCAUCAUAAUUACAUACGGAGGGUCAUUGAGGGACCCGAAUAUAAAUAUUGUAAAUGGAUGUAACACUAUUAGACCAUAACUUAUACUUAUUUCACUACUCAAGGAGGUACAUGAAAUAAAAAUAUGAUAGAACAGAUACAAAGUGCUUCAUAUAUCGUGUAGGGAUCAUAAGUAAAAGAUCGUUUGGAAGAAACACAAUAUAACAGGAAUUCUUAGGAUAGAGCACAGUGAGAAAAUAUUGGUGUACAUAUCAGGAUAAAAUGAGGGAAAGAUACCGAAUUACCCUCAUGAACCUAAAAAUUAUUAAGAUGAACUGCGCACCCAACGCAUCGCAUCGGUCCCUAUCGACGCAAUUCCUGGUGCAAUGCGUUGACAUCAUGUUGACCCACUAUUUUGAUCAUCCAAACAUGCCUCAAACGUUGUCUGAAAAAUCAAAAACUUUCCUGAGACACCCUCUUUACACCCCUGAUCAUGAAUUAACUCAAAAAUAUAUGUUUUAGGGUCGGGAAGAUCAAUUUGAAAAUCAUGGAAGUUUAGAGCUCAAAAAUAUGACUAAGUCUUAUAACAAUUAGAAAAAUUUUCAGGUUGUCAUCUCCAUACAUGUAACCAAGAGUGGUAUUGAGUUGAGAGUGCUAUGGGGUGUUACAUUACAACUAAGACAAAGAUUGUCGUUUGAAGUGAUUGCUCCUUAUUUAAGGAACUGAGUGAGUUUUCAUAGACUUUAUAACUUUGGCUAAUACCAAUGUAAAAUAAAUUGGUACUGUAUAGAAAACAUAAUUUCUUCAAACCAAGCAUUAUGUGAGACACAAAUUUUAAUGGAUUGUGAGUAACAUAACAUAGAGCUUGGAUACUUGGAAUAUUGGAUCACUGAGACAUCAUUGCUUCUAGUUUGGAUGUUGGAACAUUACAUGAGUUACAUAGAGAAUUCAGACCUUAAAAAUAGACAGGAAUUGAACACAUGAUGUAGGACAUUAGCAAAAUAAUCUCAUAAAUUAAAGUUGGAGGAGUAUACUUAGUAGGAAUAGAGUUAUCAUGACUCAUCCCCGCAACUUGCCGUAUUGAGAAAAAUUAGGGAACUAACUUAAUUUUCCAUCUCCCCCUUAGAUUAAAGUUACAAUCCUAGACAUACGGACAUAUGCCCUUAUCAAAUAUAUAGCUACAACUAACAACAUAAAAUAUACAUCACUACAUAUUUAAACUCUAAACUCUCUCUAAAGAACUAUACUCUUGUAAUUUCCCAUACUUUUUCCUAGCUAGUUUCAUCUUAAGAAUGUCUAGUAUUAGCUUUUAAAUUGAAUAAUAGUUAUUCCAUAAGGAAUUUUCAAGAUUUUCACUUCUUAUCAUGUGGGAAAUUCAAUAAGAUUUCCAUCAAUAUAAGAUUCGCCGAAAUCUGAUAACUGGGUCAGAACUUAUGACUAUUUUAAGUUCCCAUCGUAAAGCAGCGCCAUAUUAGUCAGUGGCGUACCGCGCCACAAGAGGAAAUGACAUUUGAAAAAUUCUAGUAGGGGUCCACGAUUAUGGAACGUUUCGCCAGGGGCCAAAUUCAGAAUUGUCUAUUUUCCAGUGUCUCAGCGCGAUUUCCCCCGCGUCUCGCCAAAGUUCCAGGUCACAAAGGAAGUGGCAAUGCGAUGGCCCCGCAUCGCGCCAUCCCUCAAUUUCCCAAUUGUCAAAAUUCAGUGACACGGCACGAUAGCACUGCUAAAAGUCCAGUUCAAGAAAUUUUUACAAUUUUAAAAGACGCAUCCAAGGGUUAAAAGGGUAAAUUUCCUACCCUUAUUUAAACUCAAUAACACAUGAUUUAUCUAUUCUUCACCCAAAAUAUACUAGUUUCUCUCAAGUUUCUCUCAAGAACAUGCUAGGGUUUCUAUUAGGGAUUCGAAUUCAAGAAGGUUUCACCGUCAAUCCUCAUGAAAUUACGAACUAAGGUAUGCAUAGUGUUCAUUCAUGGACUCCUUUCAUCCAUGAAGCCCAAGAAUUCUUUUUUUUUUUUCUAAAUUCCAGUUUAUGGAUUUUAUUAUGAAUUUAAUGAUUAGGCUUCUCUUGUUCAUGUGGAUAAUGAAAAAUUGAAUUCUACUCCAUGUUGGGUGAUAAAUUCUAUGUGUGUUAAAUUAUUAAAGAUGUAGAUUCAUGCAAAUUGAUGACUAAACCCUUGAAUGAUGAAAUUAGAAUUGAACCAUGAUGUUUAAUUAUUGUACAAUGAUGGUUACAUAUACCAUGCCAAUAAUAUGUUUGAUUAAAUGCCUAGAUGAAGGAAAAGUGCCUAACUAGCAUGAUACCAUGAAAUCCCCAUGUAUGUAAAAGUUAUACCUAUCACAUGUUUUGAUAAAAUGCUUCUAUAAAUGUAUUAUAGAUUAUGAUGUUAGUUAUAUGUUCAAGUAAGUUAUUCUUGGUCAGUUUCCUUCCAUCGAGUCCUGGGGGUACUCGUACCCAAAACGCUAGUUGUGUGCCUUGAUCCAUGUCAUGUUUUCAUGAUCCUCUCAGUCAAGCUAUGAUCCUUAGAAUUUAGACAAUCUUAUAACUCAGGAAAUCUCUAUGAUCUCAUGAACUCAGUAAGUUGUCAGAUAUCAGUAGAUUCCUUCAGUCAAUGGAAUUCAGAAACUCAGCCCAUGUUCAGUUCAAUAAAUCAUGUUCAGAGUCUAUUCAGAUGGGAGUAGGAAUUAGCAUCGAGUGAACCCAAGGAUGGGAACACACACUAUUAGAUAAGGGUGUGAUUCUUAGAAGUCAUCCUUGCAUUCCAGAACUAUGUAGCCAACAUAGAUUGAGAUAUCAACACUGUUCAAUGAGGGUUGAUGGGGUGGAUAAGCACUGUCAGAUAAGGGCCCCACCAUUCUCGUAUAGGGGACACUAUCAGAUAAGGGUCGCCCACAGCUUGUCCUUACCAGUGGCACGGUAUUGACACUCUUCCAAUUGGAGCUAUAGAUUGGUCCCCAACUCAGCCAUAAUGGCAUAUUAGGGGCAUGUCGAUUAGAUAACUACUUCCCACAGUUUUAUGUUACAGAAUCAGGACUGUCAGAUAUAGUCAAUCAGUUUUAGUAAUACAACUCAGAUAGUUCUUCAGAUUUUAGAACUGUUAGAUACAGUCAACUCAGAUACAGUACGAAACUCAGAUAUUUACAUCAGAUUCAGGACUGUCAGAUACAGUCACUCAUGUUAUCAGUUAUAUUCAGAUUCAGUAAUCAUGUUAUCAUAGUAUUAGUGUUCGUUGUUAUGUCUCAUGCAUGUAUUCUCAUGUUCAAGAUAGCUAGUCAAUUAUUAUUACUGUUCAUGCUUAUGAACCCCAUGCAUUCAGCCUAACUCACAUGCAUACCAAUAUAUUCAAAGUACUGACGCAUUUUCACUAUGGUGUCUUAUACCAUAGGUUUAGAGAGACGAGCUCUAGGGCAACAAUAGAUUCCAGAUAUCUGCAGACAGAGUUAGAAGUGAGUCCUUAUCUUUCGAGGACAUGAUUAUUUCCCAAUUAUCUUAAUAACUAGUUUAUUAGUUGGAGUUAAUUGGGGACAUGUCCCAUCAACUCCUUACUCAGACAGUUCAGUCAACUAAAAGCUUUCAAGACUAUUAUGUUUUAGACUUCAGUGUGUUCAGUUUAUUUUGGGUAUUCUAUUACCCACAUAGAUGUUAUAUCAUUUAGAUCAUGUUCAGUAUUGAACCUUAUGGGUUUUCUGUUCAUGUUUCCGCAUUAUAAAGUAUUUUAUGCAGUAUAUAGGUAUAGAUAUCAGUCAUAGGUUAGCUUGUGGUCCUUUUGGGUUAUGAGCACCGUGUGGCAUUCUAGGUACCAGAUUUGGGGUGUUAUAACUCUAAAGGCCUAGCUUUUCUGUAAAUGCUACUUUUAACUUUAGUUAGCCUCUAUAGCCAUCACUCUACAACUCCCACUCUCAUAAGCGCACGUAUUCACACUCCUUAUCACAAAAUGGGGGAAUCAGUAUAUACAUGAACAGAAACACCUCUCAUUAAUCGCUAAUACAAAGACACUAAAUCAUUUCUAGGAUAUCCCCUUUUAGGGACACUAAUCGUAAUAUAUUCUAACUCCCAAAGUCAUCAACUUACGACUAACAUUUUCAUGGACAUAGACACCCACGCUUCUAAACACUUAACACUCCAUCUUAAAUUGCUUAGAAUACUAUCAUUACGCCUCUAAUCACAUAACCUAUAACUUAACAAAAUUUGUAAAACAAUACCAAAGGCGCAUAUUACCUGCCUACAUUUCCUUAAUUCAACUUUAAAUAAUUCUAUACAAAAACUCCACAGACUUCUCCAUACUACAAGAUUCGAGAAUGACUUCUAGGUACCCAAAGCACUUAUAUACAUAAAACUUUAUCUAACAACCUGCUACUUGGGGUUCAACUCAUUCCCUUUACUCACGCUCUUAUCCACUUAAUGAUUCAACCAUAACUCAUCAUUUUAUCAAUAGUCAUUAUGUACACAUAUACCUCAC
rnacentral:lncRNA from 1 species